rnacentral:lncRNA from 1 species
AUUAAAUGGCUUAUGAUAAAUGUGGGUAUGACUGGUUAUUUUUAUGAUUUAAAGAAUAUGUGAACUGCUUUGAUUUGCCUUGAAUGUGUUAAGUGAGCCAUGUCAUACUAUUGUGAUUUUAUUGGUUGGUGGAUUAUAAAGUGGGCACUGCAGUGACGGGGGUUCCGUGGGCCAGCCUAAUUAGAGGGGCACGGUUCCCAAUUAUUGAGCUUACCUCGAUUGGAGAGGCGCGUAGGAUAACUCCCGAGGUAGGAUUUGAGUACACUUCACGCUGGCCACCACGUGAAAUUGGGACUCAGCCAACGCCAAGGAACGGCUGUGUUGUCAGAGGUGAAAUGUGUUUGUGUGUGUGACAAUAAACAGCCUUGGCGGUCUCGGUAAGAUGCCUUCGCGGGGUAUCCCCGAGAAUGGAUUUUUGGCAAGGGCCAAGUUUUUGAAAAGUGCAUAAGCCAUGUUGAGUAAUUAGAUGAAAUCCAAUUAUUUAUAUGGGUUGGGAUGAAUUAUUUUAAUUGUCUCCUAUUACUCGGCUUUAGAUUAUUUUGAUGAUGUCUGUCUAUUCACUGGGAUUUUAUAAUCUCACCCCUUCUUCCUAUACAUUUUUCAGGCUCAGAAUAGGCAGUAGACUGUCAAUUGCAUCGAGAAGUAAAUUUCGGAGUUGCAUCCUAGAAAGCAAGGUUAUAGACUUAAACCUUCUCAGUUAUUUGGGGGCCUACGUGUCAUUAUAAUUUAAAUUGUAUGCUCAAGUUUUCUAUAUUACAAUAUGCAUAAAUUUAUUUUGUUUUUAUGUGCAGAAAAUUAAUAUUUGGAUGUUUCAAAACUAUAUAUAUAUUGUUUUAUAUUAAAAUAGAUUAUUUUAAUUAAUAUUUUUAUUUUAUUUUAUUAUUCAAAAAAAAAGUAAGAGAGAGGAAUGGAAAAAUUUGUACAAAAGCCUUGCGAGGUCUCAAAAGGCAUUCGAGGGAAGAAUGUUUGUCGAGGCUUCACGGCAGUUGUCACAGGCUCGAUGGGAGUUUCGGGUCGUGACAUUUAUUCUCAUCCUUUUUCCUAUGAUUUGAACUUGUGUCUACUAAAUUAAUUGGGUGUCAAAUUCUCAAUUGUUGGGGCAUUCUUUCAAUAUAUUACUAUUAAUUUUAAAUUGGAUCCUUAUUCUAAAAUUAAUCAUUUUUUUCAUGCACCACUGUACUAUUGUAUCUAUAAGGGCUUCUUUUAUUGUAUUUCUAAAUUUGAUGUAUUUAUACACGGAUACCCAUGAAAACAUAGUAUAAUAAUGACAUAUCUCUUUUUCGCAUCUUUUAGACAAUAAGGAUAUUUGGAGAGUAAAUGAGUUGAAAGUUAAUGAAGAGUUACUCAAGUUGGGCUCUGGUGGAAAUAUCAAAGUGAAAAUUUACAAUGAUUUAGAGGAAUACAAAAUUAUUGCUUCCCAUAAGGUUUCUUUGAUCUCCUUUCUAAUGUUUUCAAUUUAUUAUAUUUUUUUUUCUUUUACAACUUAUAAUUAAUUCAAUAUUGUUACAGGUGUUAUAUGAUUAUGAGAUACUUAGCAUAUUUGAUACAUAUGAUUGUGUCACAACCCGGUACUCCCCUCGAGCCCGUGACAACCGCCGAGGUGUCCCGAUCGACACUUAUUACCCGGAAUAUCAAUCGAAACCUCGUAAGGCUUUAAUAUCAGUUUCUCAUUUCCCCUGUGAGUAACCAUUACCAAAUAUCAUGUUCUAAAAGAUUUUAAGCUAUUUCCAACUUAAAUCAAUAAAAAAAUUAUUUCUGUCUCACAGGGGCAUUUUGGUCAUUUUUCUCCAAAAAUUUAGAAACCAGCUAAAAAUGUAGUAUGCAAGUAUAAAACACAUAAUUCAUAAUAAAAAAUAAGUUUAAAUGUCUAAAACAUUCAUUUAAAAUGAAAUUAUGACUAUUUGAAUAUAAUAAAAAUAUUCUAUUUUCUUAUAAAACAAUAUUUAUAGAGUUAUCGGUAAAUAAUUUUUGUAGUGUAAAAGCUAAAUAAAUUCAUACAUACUGUAAUACAGAUAACCAAAGUAUAAAAUUUAAUUUACAGUGACACGUGGGCCCACGAACCACCAAAAGUAUCAAAAGUGGUAAACCUACAGUUUUUGAGGAUGCAAGUCCAAUUGUAGCCCUCAACAAAGUGAGCUAUCUACCGACUAUUCUGAGCCUGAAAUGAGUGGAAAGGAGGGUGGUGAGAUUAUAUAAUCCUAGUGAGUAAACAAAUACCAUCUAAAAUAUCUAAAGCUGAGUAAAAGGAGACAAAUAAAAUAGAUUAGCAUAAAAAUAAUUCUUAGCAUUUCGAACUCAUUUUAAUAAGAUAAAAUAGAUUCAUUUCACCAGAAUAAACAACAAGGCUUAUGAUUUCCUGAAAAGUUUGGCUCGUGCCAAAAUCAUUCUCAAACCUAGUUAUCAGGGAUACCUUGGCCGAGGGCUAUCCCAACUGAGUCCGCCAAGGCUGUUAAAAAGUCAUGUACGCAUAAAUCAUGUUUUUAUUUUGAAAACAUAGUCGUUCCUUGACGUUGGCUGAGUUCACCCUCACGUGGUUGUUUGGUGUGAAGUGAACUCUAAAGUUUAAACCUCAGGAGUUAUCCAAGCACGCCACUCAUACUGAGGUAUGAAUAUAAUGGGGUUACCAUGCUCCUUUAAUACGCUAGUCCACGAAACCCGUCCAUUGCAGCGACCAAUUUAUAACCCACCAAUUCAAUAAAAUUCAACAGCAUGACAUGGCAAUUAUAUUAUUUUAUAGCCUCUCAAGGCAAAUCAAUAGUUCAUAAUUUUUCAGCACAUUUACCAAAUCCAGCCACUCAUGCCCACAUUAUCAUAAGCCAUUCAAUUCAAACCAUAAUUUACAACACAACAAUUAGUCUCCAAUUACUCCAUUUUCAAAACCAUCAUUCAAUUUCAAGACAAUUUUAUAAAAUCAUUUCAUUUAAUCAUAUUUUGCUUAUAAAACAUAAAGAUUUACCAUUUAAACUCAUUUUUCAUAAAAUCACAAAAACGAAUAAAAACUACUUUAGAUAAUUAAGACGAUAAUAAGGUUACUCACUAUUUCGGGAGUCGAAUUUCGAGUACUCCGAUUCUUGAUCCUCGAGUACUAUCUCUUUACUUUUGCCAGAAUGCUCACCACCUAGACAUAAUGCACAAUAAGCCAUUUACUACAUUUGUGCUAAACCGUUGUAAAACCAAUUCAGGCUUUAUACUAAUGCAUGAAAUGGGAUGUAAAAUACUCGGGUAACUAUCUAAAUACGGUGUUCAAUAUAAAUUCAAUUAUGUACCUAAAUAAAAUGGUAUUGGCCUAAUUCGAUCUAUCACCCGAUUAAUUGGCCAAUACGUCCAAUUCAACUCCAAAUAAUUCCAUUUUUCUUCCAAUUCUCCGAACCAUCAAACACAAAUUAAAUAACUUGAAAUAUGGCAAAAUCAUCCUCACAUUUUCUCUUGGAAAAUUCGGCCAUGGUGGGUGCAUCAACACUAUAAUUUUUCAAGCUUGAUUGUCACACCAUAAGUCACUAAUUGCUAACCAAAUCACUUGAAAUAAAAUCAAAAUCAUCAUCCACACUCUACAUGGAAAAUUCGGCCAAUGAUGGGUAAUGGGAGAACAUGAAUUUUUCUUGCUUGACUUUCAUGCUACACAUCACCAAUCAACUAAAAACACUAAAAUAGCUUAAAAUCUAACCAAAGCAACCAUCAAAAUCUCUCUCUAAGUGUUCGGCCAACAAGAGACCCAUCAUGAAAUCAUGUGAUUCAACCAUGGAAAAUAAGAAAAAAAUGCUUAAGAAAGAGAGAUCUCAAGCUUAAUUGAAAAAUCUUACAUUAUUUUCACUUGUUUCGUUGAAUUUUAACACUUUUCCCUUGAAUUUUUCCACCUAGGGUUUUGUUCUUCCUUUUCUUCCUUUGUUUUUGCUUUGGCCGACCAUAAUGAAAAGAAAUGGGCUGAUUUUGUGCUAAUUUAUAAGGAAAAUAAUAAAUGGAUGAAAAUUUGACACAUGUCACCAUUCCAUUAGCCCAUGUGUCAUACUUACCUAUUAAGCAAUCUCUCUCCACCAUAUAAAUUUUCUCAAUUAUCCAUGAUAUUAUUGGGUAAAAUCCAUGUGCUGGACAAGUGUUGGGUGAUGUAAAAUUACAAUUUUGCCCCUAGGGUGGCAAAAUGACUAUUUUGCCCUUAUCCUCGAAAAAACACUGAAAUUAAAUUUCUUCACUUCUCAAACUCAAAUUACACUCCAAAUGAUCAAUCUUAGUCAAAAAUUUCAUUCAACACUCACAUCUUAACCUCGGGUGGCAAAAUUGUGAGACCUUGAGCUCUAUAGGCUCGUAACUAGGUAUAGACACAAUAACACGGGCCAGGGGUAGUUUCGUCAUUUUCUCUAAUAAGCUCCCAUAAGAAAGUUUUAUGAUAUUUUAAGGUCUAAAUAGGCAUAAGACUAUAUAAAUGAUUUGUAAUGAUGACAACACGAAGAAAACUAGAAAUGACGAUAAUUUUCACGGUAGGGGCAAAAUGAUCAUUUUUCACCUCGAGUUAAAAUUUUAAGUUUUCAUGAACCCGACCAUGUCUAGACCAUUAUGGACCUUGUCCCAGUGUCAAAAGAACAAAAAGAGUGCAAAAAAGAUUGGAGGAGAAUAUGCUAAUUUGUGGAGGGGUAUUUUUGUAAUUUCAAGGGAAUGGAUAAGUUUUGGCUAGAAAUAUCUUCUCCUUCCAGCAGCUUCUUGAAUUUCCAACAGCUUGUCUUCUUCUUCUUCUUCCAUCUCACGUUGCUUCCAACCUCCAUGGAAGCUUGAUAUGGAGCUUGCAUAAUUUUCUCUCUCUAGCUCUAGUUUUCAUAUCUUUGUGCCCUUUUGACUGAAACCCUUGUAUUCUUUCACUCUCUCAUUUCAAAACCUUUGAUAAAUCUUAUUUCCAUACUUUCUCUCACUAGUUGGGAAUUCUAAAGAGAGAAAGAGAGAAUUAUCCCAUUUGUUUGGAAGCUAUUGGAAGAAAAAUCAACUACAAAGAAACCCUAGAGUGAGUGAUGAACCAAGCUUGAUUUUUAGCUGUGAAUAAUGGCUAGUAAUUGGGAUUAUGAGCUGUUUUAUUGUUGAGUAUGUUCAUUUCUUUUAUAGUGAUUAAGAUAGUGAACAUAGAUAGCCAUUUAAUGUGGCAAUUGAAAGCUAGCUAAGAGAUAGCUUUUAGGGUUUAUAGUGUGUGAAUUGACUUAUUGCUUAUGCUAAUGUGAUUCUAGGUUUUAACGAAGUCCCAUCCUUCCAAUUGGAUCAUUAGGGGACUUAGAGUCAACUAAAGGCUCAACAAUAUACCGGUGAGUGAACUGCCUUCAAAACUUGUUUGGGAAUAUAAUGUACUUGUAACACAUUUGAAUGAUUUUGUACAAACGUUUCCUAAAAUAAGUGCCUUGGGAACAAGCUUUUGCUAAAUGGUUUUGUGUUAUGAUAUGUGGUUACUAUGGAUUCAUGCACUAUUGCAUCAUGAUGAUAUAUAUAUGUUGUGCAUGAUAAUUGACAUUGUGUAUGAUGAUUGUAACCGUGUGUGUGCACGAUGUGUGGGGAUGCACAUGCCGAUGAUGAUGGUGGUGUGAGAGAUGGAUGAUGCUAGUGCCCGUGUGCACGAUGUGGGGGGAUUUACACGAUGGCACUGAUUGUGCACGAUGUGGGGGGAUGCACACGAUGGUGUCGGCUAUGUACACGAUGUGGGGUGAUGUACAUGAGCCGGGUGUGAUUAUGAUGAUAUGGAUGUUAUUUAUGUAUGUAUGCAUAUCUUUACUUAUAAAAUGAAAGAGCAUGAAAAUGAUAUAUGAUUUAAAUGUAUGUGAAAUUUGAUACAUUUCACUUUAGGGAUUUCAUGUGUUUCAUGUUGUCGGUGUCAUUUUAGCAGGAUGGCUUUUAUUGAGGGAAUGGAAAUCUUGUUCAUGUUGCUUUGCUCUCGCUGCAGAAAAAUUCAUUCUCGCUGCAACGAGAAACUAUCGGGUUUUCAAGAGCCUUACCAGUUUGGUUCUCGCUGCAGCGAAAAUGCAUUUUCGCUGCAGCGAGAAAGGUACUGUAGCUUCUCACUGCAGCGAGAAACAUUCUGUUUUAGGACCAAAAUUUUGCUGCAGCGAGAUUCAUUCUCGCUGUAGCGAAAACUUUUUGUUUUGGUUUCCUUUUUGGUUCAGUUGCUGCUCCAUUUUCCAUUUCUUUGGUACCAUAGUUAAGCUUGGAUUUCCAACGUUAAGGAAUAAGUGAAUUAAGUUUAAAAUGAGUAGGUUUGGUGAGGAACCCUCGUUCGGCUAAUAACGUAAUCCCAACGUUGCUGUAGCGAAAAGGCAUUCUUGCUGGCGAGAAUGCCUUUCCGCUGCAGCGAAGAUUCGUUGUCACAUUUGAUUUGCUUGUGUAUCACUGAGGCCUUCAUUUUUCAAAUUAUUUGUUAUGUAUGGAUUCAUCAUUACCAAGUGAUUAAUUAUUUUGAGGGUUUAAUGAGGGGUUUUCAAUAUGAAUGAAAUUAAAUUGCAUUGUUUUAAAACAAGUGCAUCAUGAUUUUAAAUUCUCCCUUAUAGUUGUUUGUUCCUUUCCUUGUUCACUCACUGGGUUUAUACUCACUGUUUUCAACUUCAUGUUUUCAGAUCACAAGGCAGCUGGUAACUAGGACGAGGUGUCCUUGUAGACAUGUAUCCAUCUUUUGGUAGGUGUCUCGGCAUUUAGUAGCUGUACAUUCAUUCAAGUCCCUCCGCUGGAAGUCGAGUAUUCUUUUGUUGUGUAUAGACAAACCUAAUAUAAAUUAUUAAGAUACAUGUUGUAGAUAAUGUAUAUACACUUGUUUAGUAUGCCAGUAUGAGGUGGCAAAUGUUUAAUAUUAUUUUGAUCCUAAGUAAUGAAAUGUGACUUAGCAGUUUAUGAUGGAAUGAUGAACAUGUCAGUUUAAUAGGCUUUCUUGGGCUUAGUGGACUACGUUCAUUGGGCCCAUGCGCCGGUCAUGGCCCGAAAUUUAGGUCGUGACAAAAACGAACAUUUUACCCCUAGGUCAUGAAAAUUCUAAUUUGACUCCAAAUCAGUCCUUGAACUCCGAAUCACCAUUUUAAGUCAUUCUGGGGUUUUUAAAUUCUCAAUUUCAUCUUAAAAUCUCUAUUUGGACUAGUUCAAGGCUUAAUUCAACUCAAUUGUACCAUUUGGUACAAUACUAUCCUUUAACGAUUUUCAAGGUACCCAAGUAAGCAAACAUGCAUUCUUAUGUAAGAAUGACAUAAUAAACAUAUUGUAGAGCUGGGCUUGAUAGUACUACCCCCCUUAAAAUAAAAUUUUGACCUCAAAAUUUCAUUUAUUGAACUCAGAGAAAAGGUAGGGGUAUUGUUUUCUCAUCUAAUGCUCGACUUAUUAUGUCCUCCCCUUUAUAGGGAAUUUUGAUUUGUUCACCUCAUUUACCUCCAAUUCAACUCGAGUACUUCACCUAUGUCUAUUAUUAUCCUUUAAAAUCAUAUCAACAGUAACCUUCACAAUUAUGAUCUCUUAUAUCGUGACACCAAGCAUGCUUCUAUUACUAUCAUUAAAUUUGAACCAUAACUCCAACUCAAUCAUAUCAAUUUUGAUCGCAUUUUAUACUUAUUUAGGUAUACCAAUCACUAUCUUAUUACUUUAUUCCAUAUCAAAUUUAUCGACUUUCAUUCAUUCAUCCUAUCCUCAUACACUAUUGUGUACUUUACGACAUCAUUAACAUGCCAUACUCAUUCCUGUACAUAUCCUCAGCGUUAGGAAAGGUUAAUGGCUUCAAUUAUUUCCACAUACUUCAUGUUUACCUUGCAUUUAGGAAAUUUCAAUCUUCUUAAUCCUAUUAAUCCAUCUCAUAUGGCUUAAUCGUACUAUAGAUUACAUUCCCUUAACUAUUUCCCCAAAAUUCCUUAGGUCACCAUAAAUCGACUUCUGAUAAGAUUCUUGAUCGUUACAUUAUCUAUACAACUCAUCAAAUAUAUUAAGUUCAAAUCUCGAACCACUAAAACCAUUCUUCAUUUUAGUUGAGUACAUCACUAACUCCACACAUUACGUAUACACGCACAUUCAAAUGUCCAUAUUCCUCAUUAUGUAUACGGGUCUCUGUUUUCAAAUGCCUUCAGACUAAUUUCUUUUUGUUCAUUCCCAUCCAUAACCAAGAUUCAAUAGAAUAAUUUUCAUAAUUCAUACAAUUUCUCAUUAUGCCUGUGUAUAGUUCCACAUCAUUUACAUACUUAUACUUUCUUCUUAUCAUUUCCAAUUAUAUGCUUAAGUUUCUUUAUACUAUAUAUCAUUGCAUCACAAUGUCAUCUCCAUUUAAUUAUAAGCUAUUAUGCGUGUAUGCUUUAUAAUCCCAUUAAUGCCUCAAAGAUUUAUCUUAACUUGAUCAUUGCAUCUUAUGCAAUACCACAAUUCCUAAGAGUCAUCAUUUUUCCUCGAUUAUUCUUCAUGCCUCUACAUUACCUUGUAUCCUUCUUGCAUUCCGAUAUUGAUUUGUCACUUAAAACUCAGACUCAUUUGAAUCGUGUAUGCCUCAAGCAUUUUCAAUUUCCAAUUUCCAUAAUAUAUUAGGAAAGUUUCAUUAUUUGACUUCAUUAUCAAGGUCAACUUCAAUCAUCCUUUGUUCCACUCUUUCAUACGAAUAUAACAUCAUUCUUCCUUAACCGAUUUACAGAUUGUACUUGAAAUUGUAAAACUUGAAACUAUGUCCUCCUCAAGUACUUUUCAAUGUCAAUACAAGUAUCACUCUCAGCUUAUGGCUUCCUUUUUAUUAUCAUAUAACUUAGUGCUUGCUUUCACGAGAUCCAUGGCAGAACUUCUCUUGAGUAUUUCCUUUGGGAUAUCUAUCCUAAACUUAUGUCUCACAGCAAGUGAUCACUCAACUCGUGACUUAGCCAUUUGGCUCCUUAGCAAGUUUCAAAAUCACACAUCUUAUACUCAUCUCGUAUAAUUAAUAAUUCUUUCUCAAAGGUGUUUAAACAUUCUUGAAACACUUAAUCACUUAUUUGCUCUUUCAUACUCCAAGUAUAUCAUUUCCAAGGCAUGGCCUACUCAUGCUUCAAUUUAUCUCCAAGGGUUUCUAGCAUACCACAUAGUUUACUUGUGUUGUCACUAAUCCUUUCCUUUCAACAAAGUCAAGACAAGAUUUGUAAAUUCUUGUAACAAUAUUUUAUAUAAACUCAUUUGCUAUAUCAUUCUUGAAAUCUUCAUUCACACUUUCAUCACUUGGUAUUGACAUCUCUCAUCAAUAUCUCAUACAUUCAUCUAACUUUUCACUCGCUUUCUCUUUAAUCUUUAAUAAGGCUUAAUCUCUUGUCUUAUUUAUUUCUUAAGAUUUGAGCUCAGUCAACAUAUUAUUCAUCUUAACACUCCACAUGUUAAUUUAUUUUUAUGUAGCCAUCUAAAAAACUCUCUAACUUUUCUUUCUCUUACAUGCCAAUAUAUAAGGCAAUAAAGAAACUUUGUAAUUUCACUCAUCAUCUUUAUCUUAAUACAUCCCCAAUGCACUUAAGACUCUAAACAACAAAGCUUAGCAUCAAAACCAAUGACCAUUCUUCAACUCGUAAGUUCAACUGCACAUCUGUCUCAUUUUAUUCAUGCGUCCUAGACAUGAAGUGUUCUUAGCACCGCGGCACGAUGGCUGUUGGAGUUUACUUAAUUAAUGUAAUUCAUCUAUAUUUAAGGCUACUACACUAAUCAUUCUCAACCAUUUGGUUUCCCUCCAAGCUUAGUCACAAUUUCCAUAACCAUUUAUAUCCUUUUGUGCUUAUCACAUAUAAUAGGUAAAGUCGAUAUUUUCAAAUUCAUCUCAUCCUAUAACACUUGUCAACAAUCAAUAAAUCCCACUUUAGAAUACUCUUUCCAUAUUGUAUAGUAACUUCACAUUUAGUAUCACGGCACUAUGUUCCUCCAUUCUACUAUCAUGCAUACUCCACAGAAAUUAAUUAAAAGAUUUCUGUACCUUAACUAAUGCUAAUUCCAUUUAAUCAUAUCUUAAAUACUCCAAACUUGUAAAUUACAACUCCAAGUGUAUGUCCAUAUAUUGAUAAUCUUUAUAUAUUUCAUGAUCAUGAAAACUACAACUUACAAAACUAGCUUUCUAUCAUAUGUACUUUAUUAGAACACUGUUUUAACAAAUUUAAUCUACCCUUGGUGGUAUGUCAAAAUCAUCCCUGUCUUGGUUGUAAUCCAGAGGAAUCUCUUCUCUGCAUAUCUGUACGAGCUGGUGGAGAUGGAGCAGCUACCGUAGCCCGUCCUAACUGUGGGUAAUCUCUCCUAAUGUGACCCUGCUGACUACAAUAAAAACAUCGUACAGGCCCUCUACACGACCCGACAUGAUAUCUCCCACAAUUUUUACAGUUAUCAGAACCUCCGGAACUCUUCCCAGAAAUAGUCAUUGCAGAUCUAUUAAAUCUCAGAGGCCUCUGCUGUGUCUGUGAAAAUGGAGGUCGGGAAGAUGUUACUAAAACAGUAGUAGUACUUCCUGAAACAGAUGAGUCUUUGCCCCUUUUUGGUGGCUGACUAGAAGAUACACUCAAAUUUCUCCUUUUUCCUAACCCAGCUCGCAUUCUCCUAUUUUCAUUUGCAAGCUUCUCAACUCUUAAAGCCAUUUGCACCACCUCUUUAGCUAUGGUUGCGUUUGACUCACCCAUAAAAGAAAUGCAACCAUGUUGCCUAGCCUUUUUAAGCUUCUUAGAAUUAGAAAUAUCCAGCACUGGUGGUGGGAUAAGAGGUGGGGGUGGUGGUACUGAAGGAGCAGCUGGAGGAACUGUAGGAAGAGCUUGACCAACCUGAGCCUGUCCAGCAAUAACAGCAAAGAAGGCUGCCAAUGCCUGAACUGCCUCAGGAGGCAUGGCAGGCAUACUAGUAAGUGGCAAAGGAGGUAGAGGAUGUGGAAGAGUCUUAGUCUGCUUAGUAGCAGGUGCUGCCCGAGUAGUAGACGUAGCCGAUUCCCCCUCUAUAGGAUCUAGCUGACGAUGUUGAAAAUGACCUCUUCCCCUCCCAGCCGAUCUAGUGAAAGGUGGGUGUUCACGUCGAGGAGGCAUGAUAAUCUAUAAGAAGGAAUAAAGCAAGUUUAAACAACCUCAAGCUCUACAUGCAAAUACAUGCAUUCUAUUCAGUCUAACCUAACUUAACUCGGGGCCACACUGACACUGUAAAUUUUAAAACAACUUUAAAUCCAAAAGCUCUGAUCUUUAAAACCAAAAGCUCUGAUACCACUCUAAUUGUCACGACCCGGUACUCCUAUCGAGCUCAUGACAAUCGUCGCGGUGUCCCAAUCGACACUCAUUGCCCGAAAUGUCAACCGGAACCUCGCAAGGCUUUAAUAUCAGUUUCUCAUUUCCCUUGUGAGUAACCGUUGCCAAAUAUCAUGUUCUAAAAGAUUUUAAGCUAUUUCUAACUUAAAUCAAUAAAAAAAUGAUUUUUGUCUCACAAGGGCAUUUUGGUCAUUUUUCUCUAAAAAUUUCGAAACCCGCUAAAAAUGUAGUAUGCAAGUAUAAAACACAUAAUUCAUAAUCAAAAAUAAGUUUAAACAUCUAAAACCUUCAUUUAAAAUGAAAUUAUGACUAUUUGAAUAUAAUAAAAAUAUUCAAUAAAAUAUUCUAUUUUUUUAUAAAAUACUAUUUAUAGAGUUACCGAUAAAUAAUUUUUGUAGUAUAAAAGCUAAAUAAAUUCAUACAUACUGUAAUACAGAUAAGCAAAGUAUAAAAUUUAAUUUAUAAUGACACGUGGGGCCACGAACGACCAAAAGUAUCAAAAGCGGUAAACCUAUAGUUUUUGAGGAUGCAAGUCCAACUAUAACCCUCAACAAAGUGAGCUAUCUACCGACUAUCCUGAGCCUGAAAUGGGUGGAAAGGAGGGUGGUGAGAUUAUAUAAUCCCAGUGAGUAAACAAAUACCAUCUAAAAUAUCUAAAACUAAGUAAAAGGAGCCAGAUAAAAUAGAUUAGCAUAAAAAUUAUUCUCAGCAUUUCGAACUCAUUUUAAUAAGAUAAAAUAGAUUUAUUUCACCAAAAUAAACAACGAGGCUUAUGAUUUCCUGAAAAGUUUGGCUCGUGCCAAAAUCAAUCUCAUACCUAGUUAUCAGGGAUACCUUGGCCAAGGGCUAUCCCAAUCGAGUCUGCCAAGGUUGUUAAAAAGUCAUGUACGCAUAAAUCAUGUUUUUAUUUUGAAAACAUAGCCGUUUCUUGGCGUUGGCUGAGUUCACCCUCACGUGGUGGUUUGGUGUGAAGUGAACUCUAAAGUUUUAACCUCAGGAGUUAUCCAACCGUGCCUCACAUACUGAGGUAUGAAUAUAAUAGGGUUACCAUGCCCCUCUAAUAGGUUGGUCCACGGAACCCGUCCACUGCAACGACCAAUUUAUAACCCACAAAUUCAAUAAAAUUUAAUAGCAUGACAUCGAAAUUAUUUUAUUUUACAGCCUCUCAAGGCAAAUCAACAGUUCAUACUUUUCAGCACAUUUACCAAAUCCAUCCACUCAUGCCCACAUUAUCAUAAGCCAUUCAAUUCAAACCAUAAUUUACAACACAACAAUUAGUCUCCAAUUACUCCAUUUUCAAAACCAUCAUUCAAUUUCAAGACACUUUUAUAAUAUCAUUUCAUUUAAUCACAUUUUGCUUAUAAAACAUAAAGAUUUACCAUUUAAACUCAUUUUCCAUAAAAUUACAAAAACGAAUAAAAACUACUUUAGAUAAUUAAGAUGAUAAUAAGGUUACUCACUAUUUCGGGAGUCAAAUUUUGAGUACUUCAAUUCUUGAUCCUCGAGUACUAUCUCUUUACUUUUGCCAGAAUGCUCACCACCUAGACAUAAUGUACAAUAAGCCAUUUACUACAUUUGUGCUAAACCGUUGUAAAACCAAUUCAGGCUUUAUACUAAUGCAUGAAAUGGGAUGUAAAAUACUCAGGUAACUAUCUAAAUACGGUGUUUAAUAUAAAUUCAAUUAUGUACCUAAAUAAAACGGUAUUGGCCUAAUUUGAUCUAUCACCAGAUUAAUUGGCCAAUUUGUCUAAUUCAACUCCAAAUAAUUCUAUUUUUCUUCUAAUUCUCCAAACCAUCAAACACAAAUUAAAUAACUUGAAAUAUGGCAAAAUCAUCCUCACAUUUUCUCUUGGAAAAUUCGGCCAUGGUAGGUGCAUCAACACUAUAAAUUUUCAAGCUUGAUUCUCACACCAUAAAUCACUAAUUCCUAACCAAAUCACUUGAAAUAAAAUCAAAAUCAUCAUCCACACUCUACAUGGAAAAUUCGGCCAAUGAUGGGUAAUGGAAGAACAUGAAAUUUUCUUGCUUGAUUUUCAUGCUACACAUCACCAAUCAACUAAAAACACUAAAAUACCUUAAAUCCUAACCAAAACAACCAUCAAAAUCUCUCUCUAAGUGUUCAGCCAGCAAGAGACCCAUCAUAAAAUCAUGUGAUUCAACCAUGGAAAAUAAGAAAAAAAUGCUUAAGAAAAAGAGAUCUCUAUCUUUACUGAAAAAUCUUACAUUUUUUUCACUUGUUACGUUGAAUUUUCACACUUUUCCCUUGAAUUUUUCCACCUAGGGUUUUAUUCUUCCUUUUCUUCCUUUGUUCUUGCUUUGGCCGGCCAUAAUGAAGAGAAAUGAGCUGAUUUUGUGCUAAUUUAUAAGGAAAAUAAUAAAUGGAUGAAAAUUUGACACAUGUCACCAUUCCAUUGGCCCAUGUGUCAUACUUACCCAUUAAGCAAUCUCUCUCCACCAUAUAAAUUUUCUCAAUUAUCCAUGAUAUUAUUGGGUAAAAUCUAUGUGCUGGACAAGUGUUGGGUGAUGUAAAAUUACAAUUUUGCCCUUGGGGUGGCAAAAUGACUAUUUUGCCCUUAUCCUCGAAAAAACACCACAAUUAAAAUUCUUCACUUCUCAAACUCAAAUUAUACUCCAAAUGAUCAAUCUUAGUAAAAAAUUUCAUUCAACACUCACAUCUUAACCUUGGGUGGAAAAAUGACCAUUUUGCCCCUAGGUCAUGAAAAUUCCAAUUUGACUCCAAAUUGGUCCUUGAACUCCGAAUCACCAUUUUAAGUCAUUCUAGGGUUUUAAAAUUCUCAAUUUCAUCUUAAAAUCUCUAUUUGGACUAGUUUAAGGCUUAAUUCAACUUAAUUGUACCAUUUGGUACAAUAUCGUCCUUUAACGAUUUCCAAAGUACCUAAGUAAGCAAACAUGCAUUCUUAUAUAAGAAUGGUAUAAUAAACAUAUUGUAGAGCUGGGCUUGACAGAUUGUGGGUGCAAUCAUGCUGUCGGGAGCAAGGUUUCAUUUGUGGUGGCUCGAAGCUCUUGUCAACAUAUUAGCUAUCUAAACUUUGUGGUCGUUCUUCUUGCUGAAGAUGAUAAAAUAUUUGAUUUUUUAUCUCGUAUUGAGAUUGUCAACGAGACCAAAGAUUCUAAGUGGAUCUAUUAUAAACGUUUCAUUAGAAUUUCUCAAGCCAAGAACAACAUUUAUUGGUUUAGUUUACGGAGACUUAUGGAUGAAUUGGAAGAUGGUGAUCAAGUGAGCUGUACAGUGUUUUCUGAUUUAUGAGUAGAAGGAUGUGCCUUUGAUCUCAAAUAUGAACCAUAUAACGACCUUCUGCAUAUAUACCACUCUGAUUAUCAACAUUUGUAAGAUAAAACUAUAAGUUCUUAUUGGCUUUUUCUAUUUUUUUUAUAUUACUUGUUCAAGUCCAAAGGGACACUUUAUAGGAUUCAGAGUUUAAACAAAUUAGAGUAAUUAUAUGUAGGAUCUUGUUGGAGCAAGCAAGACAAUUCAUCUACCUCUUGUUGUAAUUAAAAGAUUCAUGCCCUCAUAUCAAUGCAAGAAUUAUCAUUGAUAGUAAAGUUUUUUUGUUUUUUAAUUUUCAUAUCACCUCCGUGCAGUUAUCUCUCUACCUUUCUCCUCUCUCAUGGUCUUACCAUUAUCAUGCCUUUGAAAACCUAAUCUUAUAUAUGACCUACUGAAAUCGACAACCAAAAAAAAAUAAUAAUAAUAAUCUAAAACAAAUCAUAAAUUUUGGUUUCGAUUUUUUUAAAAAAAAAAAUCAAACCAAAUCAUAUUAUAAUAAAAAUCAAAUUAAAUCAAACUAAAAUAUAAUAAUUUAGUUUGGUAAAAUUGGUUUCUUAAUCUAUUUUAGAAACUUACAACUAAACUCAUAAUUUUUUUCAUAAAUUUAACAUUUUAAAUAAAUUAAAAUUUAAAAACUCAUAAUUUAGGUUACCAACUACUAUUGAGCAUAAAGCAUCAACAACAUUACAAUAUUUGCUGAUCUGAUCUUGUUUUCUUUAUCUAUUCUUUUCUUAUAUCUUUAUUUUCAUUUUUUAAAAUCAUAUAAUCUUGUGUAAUAAUUUUAUCAUUUUACAUAAUAUAAACAUACAAAUCAAGUGUGGCAAAAAAAAAAAAAAUCAAGCUCUCAAUCUUGAUCUUGGUGCGUAUGUAGUCAUUAAAUUUUCUAUGUAAACACUUGUCUCCUUUUAGUUCGGGAACCUUAAACCAAGGGCAGCUCAAUAACUUCAAAGGCCUAAAGCAAAAUAUUCAAAUAAAACUUUUUUUAUUGAAAUUAAGAAAAAAAUUUAUUAAAAUUUUAUUCAUCUAGCUUUUUGAGAUGUAAAAUUUCUAAUUAAACUUUUAUAAUCAAAUUCUUCUAAUAUUUAUUUUUUAAUUGAUAAUAUAGUCGAUCCAUUUAAUCUUUUUUAAAACAUUGUUGAUCUAAUCAUUUUAGUUUUGAAAACUUCUUUUUCCUAAAACAACACUUACUAGAAUUGUUAUCAUUAUUCUAAAAACAAUAUAUGCAUUUGGAAAAGAAUCGAGUCUUUUUAUAUGAUUAAGUAUGUCGAUUGGAUUGUUAUCUUCCAUUUGUAUAAUUUCUUUUAAAAUUUAUAACUCUAAAAAUAAAUUUAGAUCAUCAAUAUUAGAAUAGUUGUUAUAUUUUAAGGAAUAUUCAAAAUUAAAGUAAUAUUCUUUCAAACUAUUAUCGUCUAAUGACUUAAACUUUUUACUGCUAAAUUGAAAAUAAAAAAUACUUUCAUAUAUCUUAAAUUGUUCAAAUCUACUUUAGAGUGAAAAAAUUGCUUGAUCUAAUAUAUUUAGGAAGUAAUUAAUUCUAAAUGAUUCUUCAAGAGAUCUUGUUAUUUCAUUAUCAACAUUCUCAUCAAAUUAUUUUUUUCUACGAAUGAUUCAUGUAUCACGGAAUUUUGGUUCCAUAUUCAUUUUAGAUGCAAUUUCUUUAGAAGAAAUCAUAGUAUAUGCAAAUCCAUAUUAUCGUUAGUCGAUUGGAAAUAAGAGAAAUAGCUGAGAAUUAAUAGUAUUGUAUAAAUUGAGAAGUGAUAAAAAUUGAAAUUUAUUUGACACAUAAUUAGGAAAAUGAGAGAAUAUGUUAUUUUAUUAAUUAUCUUUGACUUUUACCUAUUUUUAAUGGAAAAUGAGAUAAAUAGCUAAGAAUUAAUAAGGAUAUAGAAGAGAAAAUAUAUAUUUAUUAAGCAUAAGAGAAUAAGCAAAUAUUUCAUUAAUUAUCUUAAUUUUUAUAUAUUUUUUAUAUAUUUAAUUAUAUUAUAAUUAUUAUAAAAUUAUGUGACCUUUCCAAAUUUGGGGCCUAAAGCCCUUGCUUGGAUGGCCUUACCUAGGGGCAGGCCUUGACUCAAACCAUGGGUUUGUCAUCCUAACUCUUAAGUUGGAUAAAAUCCACAAAGCCCUUCAAAACAUUUCAAAGGACACUUUGGUCCUUUUUGCUUCAAAAUGAUGUUUUUGGUCUUUUGAUUGUUAACACCAUUAGUCAAUAGUUAAAAAAAUUAUACCUAAUAAUACAUAAAUAUUUAAGGACUCAAAUGGCCUUUUGGAAAAAAAAUUACUCAUGUUCCCUUCCAAAACUUAAUAAAAUUCAAUUUAAUAUUUAAUAAAAUUCAAUGUUUAACAGAGAAGAAAAAAACUUAAAACUUAAUAAAACUCUCAAUGAGAUUUGUAAAUGUGAUAGUUUGGUUCACAUUAGUACUUAACAAAAUUCACUUUGGUAUUUAAUAAAAUUCAAUCUUUAACAGAGAAGAAAAAAACUUAAAACUUAAUAAAAUUCUAAAACAAGAUUUGUGAACGAGGUAGUUUGUCUCACUUUAAUACUUAAUGAAAUUCAAUAUUUGGCAAAGAAGAAAAAAACUUAGAACUUUUAAGAUAUAGUAAUUAAGUUAAAAUCUUUUUUCUUCACCUAAACCCUAGUUUCAAAUAAUAAAUUUUGGUAUAAAUUUUCAACAAAAUUAGUAGUCACAAGUAAGAAAUACCCAACACCAUCAAAUUUAAAAUAUCCAUCAUUGAACAAAAGAUUUACUUUUUAAUACAUUCUUUUCAAUGAAAAAAAACCUCAAACUGUUGGAGAAAUAAAGAGUUUGGUGAAAGCAGACUUUACCUUGAGAAAAAAGUUUAUGGUUUUUAAGGUAGAUACAUCUUUAAAUUUUCAGAUCUUCAAAAAAAAAUUUAAGCUUUUUUUUUACUAAUUAAGGUUUUGGACAAAAUUAUGAGCAGAUUUUUUAAAAAAGAGAAACUAUUUAAAUGAAAAAUAAUAAUAUACAGGGUAUUUGUAGCUUAAAAUAUUUAUGAUUUUUUUAGUUGUUUAAACUAAUGAUGUUACGAUAAAGGACUAAAAAUAUCAUUUUAAAAUAAAAGGAAACAAAAUAUUUUUUUGAAAUGUUUUGGAGUUGAUUUUUGCAUUCUACUCCUUUUAAGUUGGUAUUUCAUUUUAAGUUUGCUUAGUCAAUUAAUUUAAGCAUUUCCUAUGCUCAUAUAGGUAUAUUGUAUAAAGAAAUGAAUGGAUAUACAUAGGAUGUGUCCUGGAAGAAUUGGGUGGAUUUGGUGGCAAUCUUUGUGAAUAAUCUACCCAAAGAAUUGAUUGGAGGUUGCAACAAAGAACUUGUGGGAAAAAUUGGAGGGUUUUGGAUGCAUUGAUCUUUAAGAAGAGAUCCAUAAGGGGAGGAAUUUUGGGUUUGUGAAGCAUGGAUUUAUAGUUAAAGCUAGAACAACUGCUUGGAAUGGAGUGUGGCACUUGUAUCAUAAAAUACGGGUAAAUAUUACUCAAUUAAACCCCAUAAAUGCAUUACAGAGAAAGAAAUCAGAUCAAAACAAAGUUCCUUUCAAUGGAAGAAGGGGAAAAUGGGCACGGAGGGAGGACAAUGAGAGACCAGAUUUGCAUUCAAGUGGAAGAAAAAAGCAUUUAUGGAAUCAGGUGAAGCAGCAAUUUUUUAACACCGAUGUUUUAAAAUGCUCUGGUCAUGUGGAGGUAGAAACUCUACACUUGUUGGAGAUUAACGUCGUGGGGGUAUGUAGAGAAACUUUGCUACUUCAAUUUUCAAAACAGUGCUAAUUCACUGCGCUCUUUAUCAAAUUGGGUGAGAGGAAACAAACUAAAUGCAAACAUUUAAAAGAGCUAUCCUGCAAAUUGUAAGUAGAUACUUUUGUAUUGAUAAUCUGACACUUGAUUUUAGUUUUAAACUUUCUACAUAUUGGACCUCGACUUGCUUACAAAAAUAGUUCAAAUGCUGGCAAAACAGAGGAGCAGCCUCUCUGUUUUAGAUGAUUUUUCAAAUAAUUAUUUUCUCAAUCCAAUAAUUAUAAUUAUGCACUUGCAAACCAAGAAUCCUUGGCUUUAUUUCGAUUAGUAAAGCUUCUAAUUGGAAUGUAAGCAAAUGUGAGUAUGUGACAAAAAGGCUAAAUUCGUGCACAAGAAUUAUUCAAUUUAGUCAAGGCAUGCACUAAGAUAUUUAUAAGAAACAAUUCAUCCAUGAAAAAUGCUAUGAUAAAUAUUUAUCAAUUUUACUUUUGAAUUUUUGAAGAUUCUUUAUAUUUAAGCUUCGCGUUCUUGAGUGGUUUUGCCUCUUUAACUUUAUUUAGAAUCUUUGUUUUUUAAGUUGAAAACACAUUCAUAAAUUUGUUUAGGAGUAUAAUAAAUAAUUUAAUAAACCAAUUACAAUUUAAAUUUGGAGGUUUGAUUCUCUACCAAAUUUAUCAAUCAAAAUACUAAUUGCAAAUGUUAAAAGUGAACAUAUUAAAAGUAGAAGACUUGUGGCAGUGUACCUUGGCCUCAACCUUGCAGAUCUUGUCAGCAGUCAACACCCACUAAGUGCCCCACCAAUGGUAUCCCAUGGAGGGCAAAAGCAUAGUUUUCCCUCUUCACAAACCAAUGGGAUUAGGAAAUGAAUGGUAAGGUACACUGUAUAUACCAAAUGGUAUGAUCAAUUAAUAUUAAUUAUAUAUGUUUAUUGUUUACCGUAAUGAAAUUAAUAGUUGACAAGUUGAUCAAUAUGCUUUUUAUUUAAAAUUCCAUAUCUGACUUUAUCAAUAAUAUAACAAUUAGGUAUUUUAAAUAUUUGAUUUAGUUAUAUAUUUAUUUUAAUUAAUUAACUAUAUUUUAUGCCACAUUUUUCUUUUCUUCCGCAGCAAUAAUGCAUUAAAACGGUUUUUUUUCUCUUUCAUACAAAUUCCAAGUUUGAAGAUAGUUAAUCUCAAUCACUCACAUGCCUUAUCAAAAUCAUUACUUUUGAGGACUCCCAAGUCUUGAGAAAUUUUUUUUUUUUGAAAUAGGGGAGGUAUUUAUUCAAUAAAACCCAAAUUACAUAAGUCUGGGCCAAGAUAUGCCCAAUAUAUCAACUAACAGUAAAGUGAAGAUAUUUGGUGGAGGAGCCUCAAAUACAUGGAGGCCUAGGGGAAGAUCAUGGUGCUUAGUUGCCAUCUAGUCAGCGCAACUAUUGGCUUCGCGCAACACAUGAGAUAUGGAGUUGAUGCUUAAAGAUUGUAUACAGUUGAUUUAAGGUUGAUUGAUCAAUCAAUCGGUGAGCUAAAGACACUUACUUUCUUAAGCCUCAAAGAUCGCAAAGAGCCUUAAGAAACUUUCAAAGAAAAUUAGUUUGCUGGGAGUAAAUUACACGAAUGUCUUACAGGUGAAAUAGGAAAAAGUCUCUAAAUGUCAAAAUGAACAAUCUCAAAAGAAGAAUUAGAAAUAAAAGUAAAAGAGAUCAUAGAUGUCUAUAAAAAAUCGAAAUGCGAAAUUGGAUAUUAACCUCUACCAUUGAUAUCACAGGAAUGAGCCCAUAUCCAGUUUUUUUAUAUAAAUAUGUCGUUUUCUCAUCAAAGACGUAAUCGAAACAAAGAAAGUGGGCAUGUCAAAGUGGUAAACAAAAACUUAAUGGAGAGUGGGUGAUUAUGCGAACCGUAACUGAACGUGGGUAACUAACAUUAUGUGGGUAAUUAACAUUCCCCCACUUGGUCCGUAUAUUUUACUUAAUAAUACCUAAAAUCCACAAAUCCUUCUUCUUAAGAAAAUAAACAAAAUACAUGAUUCAUGGAAACAAGUCCUCUAAGAACGAGUAUUGUCUUCCAUGUAUCACUAUGCAUUCUAUUUCUUUAAUGUCAUCCCAUCAUAACUUAAUGAAUAAACCUUAUGUUUAUUCUAGAUCCAAUAAUGAUUGUUAUUCUCAAAAUAAACGUGUACACAAAGAUGAGAAAACACACAAAUAAAUAAGAGUUUCAUUACAAAUGAUAAAAGUCCAUACAACAAAAAUCACAUGAUGCAACCAAGUCCCAUUCGUGCUACAUGAUCCUUAAAUUUCAUAGGUGGCAUGCCUUCUAUUAAAGGAUCGACAAUCAUCAAUUCAAUGCUAACAUGCUCAAUGACCAUUUUGUUCUCCCUAACACAUUUUGUUAUGGCUAAAUACUUGAUGUCGAUGUGUUUACUUCGACUACCACUUUUGUUGUUUUUAGCCAAGAAACCCGUAGUUGAAUUGUCACAAUACAUCUUCAGUGACUUAGAAAUGGAAUCCACAAUUUUAAGCCCAAUUAUAAAACUCUUCAACCAUACACCAUGUGAGGUAGCCUCAAAACAAGAACGAACUCAGCUUCCAUGGUAGAAGUAGCAAUUAAGGUCUAUUUUGCAGUCCUCCAACACACGGCUUUGAAAGCAAACAUAAAAACAUAUCCAAGUGUUGAUUUUCGUGAAUUAACACACCCAGUGAAGUCCGAAUCCAAGUAACCAACUACCUCUAAGUUGUCAGUUUGCCUAUACAUAAGCAUGUAAUCUUUGGUCCCUUUAAGGUGCUUUAUUACUUUCUUUGCAACUCUCCAAUAGUCCAUACUUGGGUUACUAUGAUGUUUGCCUAACAUUUCAACAGCAAUUGCAAUGUCAGGUCUUGUACAAACUUGAGCAUACAUUAAGCUUCCAACAACAUAAGCAUACAGAAUGUUUUGCAUUUGUUCCCUUUCAAGCUCAUUUUUUGGGCAUUGGUUUAAAUUAAACCUACCACCCUUCACAAUGGGUGUUACACUUGGUGAACAAUCCUUUAUCUGAAACCUCUGUAAAAACCUUAUUGAUAUAGGUUUCUUGAGAGAAACCCAAAAUGCUUUUAGAUCUGUCCCUAUGGAUCUUAAUGCCAAUGACAUAAGAUGCCUCACCCAUAUCCUUCAUAUCAAAAUUCGUAGAGAGAAAUCGUUUCAUGUCAUGUAGCAAUCCUUUAUCAUUAGUUGCAAAUAGUAUAUCUUCCACAUAUAGAAUAAGAAAAUAGAUUUUACUCCCACUAACCUUCUGAUAUAUGCAUUGAUCCAUGAUGUUCUCUAUAAAACCAAAUGAAGAGAUGACAUCAUGGAAUUUCAAAUACCAUUGACGAGAGGCUUGUUUCAAUCCAUAUAUGGAUUUCUUGAGCUUGCACACCAAAUGCUCACCAUCACUAGAGGAGAAUCUUUAUGGUUGUUUCAUAUAAACCUCCUCCUUUGGGUUCCCAUUUGAUGCAAUUCCAAAUUGAAAUGAGCAAUUAAUGCUAUAAUGACAUGAAGAGAAUCUAUCUUAGAUAUAGGAGAGAAAGUCUUCGUGUAAUCGAUUCCUUCUUUUUGAGUGAAACCUUGGUAAUAAGUAUUGCUUUAUAUCUCUCAAUGUUGCUUAAUGAAUCUUUUUUUAUUUUAAAGACCCGUUUACAUCCAAUGGCCUUUGCACCAUUAGGCAACUCAACAAGAUUCAAGGCUCCAUUAGAUGCCAUAGAAUUCAUCUCAUCUUUCAUGGUAUUGUACCAUAAUUCAAAUUCUUUGCAACUCAUGGCUUGUGAAAAUGUGUCAGAAUCAUUUUCAACUCCAAAAUUAUAGUCAGGUUCCUAUAGAUACACAACGUAAUCACUAAGGAUUGAUGAUUUUUUCAUCCUAGUUGAUCUUCUUAAUGUUGUAUUAACAUCCUCUUGAGGAGCAUGUUGCACAACAAUCUUUAGAAAUUGUUGAACAACCGGAUCUACUAGAUCGUCAUCAAUAGCUUGUGGAACUUCAACAAUUGGUUGUACAACACUUGAUUGAAUUUGAAAAGUGUUAUGAGCAACAAUCAAUCUAUCACUUGAAGUGGGAGUUUGAAUAUCACAAUGAUUCUUCUCAAAAAUUAAGUUUUGAGAUUAAUUACUUCCACUGAUCAAGUCUUUUUCAAGAAACUUUGCAUUUUUGGAUUCCACAAUCCCAGUGCCAUGAGAUGGACAAUAAAAUUCAUACCCUUUGGACCUUUCAACAUAUCCAAUGAAAUACCCACUUAUAGUCCUUGGGUCCAAUUUCUUUCUUGUGGAUUCUAAACUCUUAAUUCAAACGAGCAUCCCCAAAUGCAUAUAUGUCACAAACUUGGUUUCCAACCUUUCCACAAUUCAAAUGGUGUUUUAGGAACGGCCUUGGUUGGAACUUGAUUUAAUAUAUACAUUGCCGUUUUAAGAGCUUCAGUCCACAAGGACUUAGGAGCUUGGAGCUGCUAAGCAUACUCCGCACCAUGUCCAUUAAUGUUCAGUUUCUUCUUUCUGCUACACCAUUCUGGUUUGGAGAUCCAAGCAUGGUGUAUUAGGCCAUUAUCCCAUGCUCCUUAAGAAACUUUGCAAAUGGAUCAAGUGCUUGUCCAUCCGUAAUGUAUCUACCAUAAUAUUCUCCACCUUAAUUUGCUUCCUGCAUUGUCUCUCUACUUCAGCUUUAAAUACCUUAAAGGCAUCAAAUGCUUCAUUUUUAUUAUGAAGCAAGUAAAGAUACAUGUAUCGUGAAUAAUCAUCUCUGAAAGAGAUGAAGUAUUUUUGACCAUAUGAGUCCAUAUCUAGACUAUAAAUAUCUGUAUGUAUGAUCUCUAAUAUGUCUGAACUUCGUUUGGCACCUUUUUUUGUCUUGUUAGUCUACUUUCCUUUUAUGCAAUCCACACAAGUAUCAAAAUCAGUAAAAUCCAGAGUACUAAGUACUCCAUCAUUCACCAAUCUUUUAAAUAUGUCUCAAUUUUUUGUACCACAAAAUAGAGGAAUUUUCAUUCAUAACACAUCAUUUGAUACCAACAUUAUCAUGAACAUGCAUUGCAUUAUAAAGGGCAUUGUUUUGCAAAUUAAUUUCAAAAAGACCAUCAGAAAUUGUACCAUUCCCAACGAGAUUAGAUUUAUAAAACAAAUUAAAGGAUGUAUCUGAAAAGCUAAAGGAAUAACCAAGUGGUACAAGUCCUGAAACUGAAAUCAAAUUUUUAGAGAAACUUUGAACAUAAAAUAUUCUUUCCAAAUUUAAAACAAAACCAGAAUCUAAAAUCAAUCUGUAUGUUCCAAUUGCUUCCACAUGUGAACGCAUCUUGUUUCUUGAAUAGAUGCACUACUCACUGUCCACUAGCUUUCUUUGGUUUUGAAAGCCCUACAAGGUAUUCAAAAUAUCGAUUGUAGAACUAGAAUCAAUCCACCAAGUGUUAUGAAAAACAUCAACCAUAUUAGAUUCAUAACAAACAAGUGAGGUUGGGUUACCUUUCAUCUCAAGCCAAGCCUUAAAUUUGACGCAAUCUUUCUUCAUGUGCCUUUUCUUUUUACAGAAGAAACAUUUGGAUUCUUUCUUUACGUAAAUUUGGAUAGGUGUUUUACCUUUUCCCUUUUGUUUGGCUUGUCAUUUGUUCUUUCCUUAAGUUGCCAUAUGUGUAUUUUUGCCUGAUUCCACAAUCAGCCUGCUUUCCUCUUGAACACACAUGCUUAGAAGUUCAUUAAUUGACCAUUUAUCCUUAUGUGUGUUGUAAAGAUUUUAAAAGCUCCAUAUUGAUGUGGAAGAGAAUUUAGACUUAAGUGCACAAGGAAAGAUUCAAACAUCUCAACCUCAACAGAUUUGAGUUGAGUAGCAAUGUCCUUUAUUUGCAUUAUGUGCUCACGUACACCUCUAACACUGGUGAGCUUCAUUAUGAUAACUUUGUCAUUAGAAUGCUGGCUAGGGCUUUAUCUAAAGACUCAAAUUGUGCAUGAAUAGCCUUCGGCAACUCCUUAACAUUGUCACGUUUUCCUAUUGAACCACGUAUACUAGCAAAAUUUUUUAUCUUUAUGAACAUCAUAUUGAGAUGAUUGGAUCGCUUUUAUCGUUCAUAAAGAGCAAUUCAGCUUGAGUGCUAGUAUUAGUAAGUGUAGGUGGUUCAUCUUUUCGAAUAGCAUAAUCAAUGUCCAUCCACCCUAAUUGGAGAAGAAUUCGCUUUUUCCAUAUUUUAUAAUUAUCACCAUUUAAAUCAAGAAUAUCACAUUUGAUUAAAAAAUUUAUAGGUUGUAUAACUACAUAAUAAAAAAAUAUAUACAUGCUUAUGUCACAGAAAUUGAGGCAAAUAAAUAUAUGCCAUAUUUCACCAAUGUAAAACAUGUAAAUCAUGCUUAAAAAUAUGAACCAAAUAACAAAUAAAAACUAUUUGUGGGCCAAGUUUUAUUUAAAAUAUUUAUAUACAAACUUCAUGAUGAAACUAUCAAAUUAUAUACCUUUUCUUAAUUCCUAUGGGUAAAUUAAGAAAAAUAAUUUGUUAUUUCAUCUUAAUUAAUCAUACAAAUAUAAUAAAAUAUUGUGGGAUAAAAUUUAUCAUAUUUGAAUAUCAAUAAUCACAAUUGAUGUCAUUUUCUCCAUGUAACCAAGGAUACUUAAUGUAUAAUUUAGCAUAACCAAAGAUGCUAUUGCUAAUCUCUAAUUAAUUAAAAUUAUAUUGAUCACAUGACAUCUAAUUUUAUGCAUAAAAUAAUUAAGUAACAUGCAUGUAUCCACAUAUAAUAAGUAGGUAAUAAAAAAAUGUACAUUCAUCAAUUUAUGUAUAAAAUCAAGUACCAAAAAUCGCUAAGAAAAAAAAUCUGUUUUAAAAUGGCAGAUUUUUUUUUAUUGGCCUUUUAUGUUUUGGGCUAAGGAACAUAUGUAUGUCUUAAAAGAAUGACUCUAGACUUUGUUAGAGUUGACUAAAACACUUAUGGCUUAGCUUUUUACCAAUGUAUGGAAGAAGCCCAUGCCUAAAACUUAUUAAAAGAAAAGAAGCAAGCCUAUGCCUAAAACCUAAAACUUAUUAAAAGAAAAGAAACAUGCUCAUGCCCAAAACUUAUUAAAAGAAAAGAAGUAGUUCAGUUUUUUUUUUGUUCUUUUUUUAUUCAUCGUCUUCUAUCUCUAAAAGGGUUUGCCCGACCCGAAAUUGAGCCCGUUUCAUAAACCCAGUCAUAUCUUGGUGUCUGAGACUCCAUUUUUUAUGUUUCAAAAGCCGUUUUGCUCAAAAUUCAAUUUCCUUUAGCUUUCCAACAUCAUUUUAUUAAAACUUUGACUAAGCAAUUUCAAUAAAAUAAAACUUUUUGCCUGUUUUGCAUACAAAUUUAGAAACUCAAAUACAUCAAGACAAAGGUUGAAACAGUUAUGAUACCAACUAAAAGACAUCAUUGAUGCCUGUACAUAUACACGUUAACAAAAUUAACAAAUAGAAAAAUAGAAAUGUGGAAGUGGAUACUAACCUCUGGCCAUUAAUGUCACAGGGAUGAGCUUCUUUGUAUAAGGGUAUUUCUAAACUCUAGCAAUCUCACUUAGAUGGUGUGUAUUUUGAAAAUACUGAGCUUAGGGACCCAUAUUUGGUUUUCUUAUAUAUAUGUCAUCUUCCCAUUAAAGACGUAACCGAAACAAAGAAAAUGGGCGUGUCAAAGUGGUUAACAGAAGGUUAAUAGAGAGUGGGUGAUAUACAAACCAUAACUGAACGUGGGUAACUAACAAAAAGUAUUACAGUAAAAUCUCAAUAAAUUAAUACUUGAUAAAUUAAUAAUUUUGAUUAAAUAAUAUUUUUGAUCGGUCCUAACUUGGGACCGACGUGGUAUAUUAAUAAUUUGGUAAAUUUAAAAGAUAAUACAUUUUGAGAAAAACACAUAGGUCCCACUUGAUAUAUAAAUUAAUAAUCUCCUUAUACAACAAAAUUAUAUAUAUACUUGACUCAAUUAGGAGGCCUUCGUAAAAUAUGACUCCAAUGUUACUUGUUUCUUUUUGAAAUUGAUAUCUCCUUAGACCUCAUCUCUCACUUUUCUUAGUGCAUUAAGAAGCUCUGGUGUAAUGUUCUCGUAUUGAAAGAGAAAAUUGACAUUAGCUGAUAAAUACUCUUAUGACCUCUUGGUCAUAUUGGAUAUUGUUGCUUGGCUCACUUGCAAGUUAAACUUUUCUGACACCCAAUUACUUUUAGAUGUAAUUUGGAUUUUCUAUGUUUUAUUCACACAAUACUUUUACAUUUCAUCAAUCAUUGUUGAUUUCCUUACACCUUUAAGAUGAGAAGCCAUUGUAUUUAGUUUACAUUUGUGAUAAUGUAUGUUCUUUUUGUAGAUUGUUUUGCUUGACUUAAUGAUCAUGAGUAUAAUAAUUAAGUAUACAUCGAAUGUAAUUUUAGUUUGUUGUAAAAAUGGAUAGAUUCAUGACUUCUAUUUAAUUAACUACUAAUUAAUUGAUGUCAAGUUAAAAAGGUGAGAAUGGAAGAAGCAAGAAGAGACAAUGGCACCAAAGGCGGUUGGAGGUGGCUUGACAACCUUUAUUCAAUUUUCGUUGACAAUCUGAGUAAGAGGUUGACAUCGUCCAUAAUGCGAGGGGCUUUUAAAGAAUAUGGCAGCGUCAUGGAUGUAUACAUCCCAAAGAAAGCAAUCUUAAACAAGAAUCGAGGAGGAAACUAUGCUUUCAUUCGUUAUAGGGAGAAGAAAGAAAUGGAGAUUGCACUAAGGUGGAGAAACCAUUAGUGGAUUGAUGGUAAAUGUAUUAUAGUCAGGAGAGUGGUCCCUCUCCAAAGGCAAAUUACCUUUGAAUAUAAGGGCUCAAGGCUACAAGUUAGAACUAAAUGUGGAAACAAGGACAAGCAUUCCUUUAGGGAUGUGGUGGUUAAUAAUACUAAGCAACCAAAGAAAGAAUUGCCCAAGGAAAGAGAUUCAAUACCUACAAACGAAAAAAAUUAAGAAGUGGACACAACGGCCUCAACAAAAGCUAACUUAUCUCAAACCAAGAGAAUAACAAGGGGGGACGAAGAAUAGGGAGUGGGGACAUAUAAAGGAGAUAAAGUGACUAUGAUCAAAGCUGUUAUGGAAUAUGAUGAUAAAAAUUAAGUGAGAUGUAGUGUGGUGGGUAAGGUCCACUCAAUUAUAGCUUACGUUACCAUUCAAUAUAGUCUCUCCCAGAAUGGGAUUUAUGUUUAAAUCUGAUCCUCUGAAGGCAUCUCUAUGAUUGUUACUUUUGAUAAUUGUGAUAAGGUUAUUACCCUUUUGGAAAAUUAUUGAGAGCUGUUUGAGGUCUUCAUCGACUUUUUGAUAGAUUCAACCAAGCACACAUUUAGUCAAAGUUUGAAGCAUGUUAGAUAUUCCUAACCGUGUGGUGCUUGAAGCAGGUGGAAGAAAGUUUCAAGUUAGUGCUAGUAUUGUUAGUAUUGAAGAACAUGGAUUGUUAAAGGUAUAUUUGAAGAACAUAGAAAUCCAACAGGAAACUAGACUUGCCAAUCUAAAUGAUGGAAACAAAGGUAGUGGUCUGGAUCAACAUGGAGGAGGCUCGAUGGUGGCACAACAGAAAGAAAAGAAGAGGCUUGGUGUUAGAAAGGGGGCCAAUGUUUGAAGAAAGAAGUGAUGUUAAAUUUUUUUGAAUUAAAGCUGCAUAGAAGAAGUGCAAGUAGCUCGACUUUAAAGACUAUAAAACCGAAAAUGGGACUUUGUGAUAGAGGGAACCAAGAGUGGAAAGAAGUAGGCAAGGAAAUCUCUGAUGGGGAAAAGGUGUAGGUUAGGUGAUGGAAAAAGUAAAUAGCAAGCAAGACUGAGAGGAUUUGAUGGGAGCAACAAGUGUCGGCAGAUUAUAGCCUUGAAAUAAAGAAAAAAGUCAUAGGGUGGAGAAAGUAUUGACAAAGGUUUUGUCUCAGUGAGUCAACUCAACUAACCAAGGGAGAAAUUCGAAAAAGAAACGUUGGGCCAAACGAUGAAAAACUAUUGUCCAACAAAGGCUUAAAAUAAUAUGAAGGGCCUAAGAGGUCACAAAAGCACAUACACCAUACGUGAAUCAUUGCAUAACAAUAGAUCAAAGUUCGAAUCAUGGGAAAACCAAAAGAAAGAUAGGCUAAGUUGGUUUAACAGAGAGUAUUCUAUAAUUGGAGAAAAGCCUGAUGUUCGUAAGUUCAAUGGGAUACUAGGUAAUAGCCCAAAAGAGUAAGAGAAUAUGCCAAAAGAGUUCGUUAUUAAACAUCAGUGUGACUUUGCUGAGGAUGAGGCAUAAUUUAGUGACAGCACAAAAACAUCACUUGACAAAGUAAAGGAAGAUACGGGGACCCUAUGACAAAAACUAGAAGGAGGCUAAUUUGGAGUUUGUAGAAAGGAGAAGAAAGAUGCUAAUGGUUCUGAUUCAAUAAAAUAAAAUGACAACAGGAUGUGAGAUAUUGUGCACGGAUGAGGAUGAGGACUCAUUAUCCCUAGUCUGUAGAAGCAAGAGAGGUAAAAAUAACAUUAAAAAGUACGCCUCUAAACUAAAACUGAGACAAGAAAUCUCCAAGAAAAAAAAAGGUAACAAAAGAUCGAGUAAAGGCUCUAUCAAAGUCAGAGUGGUAACUCCAAGAGGAAGAAACUUUAGUGGUAAAAAGAAAGGCUUGAGGCAUCGGAUGGAGGAAGAAAAGGGCUUAUUGGACUUUGGCCUUGACCUACAAGACAUGGACGUUUUAUUUGACACUGAUUUGAGAUUGAGAGUUUCGGCAAUUAGAGAGGAUGCUAUUAAGAUUUGGUAUUUAGCUAGAAGGCUAGGAUUCAUAUUUCAAGAAGAAGAGGAAACUGUUAGUCAAAAGUUGAUAGAUUUAGAAAAGGCAAACAAAGAAGCCAUGAGUGCCUCCAACAGGUAAAGAUCAUGUAUGCCCCUCACCCCUUGUGUUGUUUUGUGUUUGAGAUAAAGCUGAUUUCUUGAAAUAUUAAAGGCUUAGGAAUCUUGGAAAAAAAAAGGGUCGUGAGACAAUUAGUGGGGAGGGAAAAUUCAGAUAUGAUCCAUUUACAAGAAACCAAAUUAGAAAGAAUUGAGAGUAGAUCAAUUAGAAUAGUGUGGGGAAGAGGUGAAUGUGAACAUAAGGCAGUGUCUUCUACAAGAGCCUCUAGUGGGCUAUUAAGUAUGUGGAAGAAAGAUUUCUUGAGGUUAAUAAAAUGUAUGAAGAUAGAAAUUACAUCUUGAUGGUUGGAGUGAUCAAACGUCUCGAUCUCAAGUGUUGUUUAGGUAAUGUUUAUGCUCCUAAUUCAGAGAGUGAACACUAGUCCCUUUAGGACCAGUUAAUUAGAGUGAUGAACAUUGAGAAUAUUCUAUGGUGCUUGGGAGGCAAUUUUAAUGUCACAAAGAAUAUAGAGGAAAGAGUUGGUAAAUGGUGUAACCCAACCUCUAUGGUAGCCUUUAGAAAGUUCAUUGAGUCGACUGGACUCAUAGACUUUCCUUUAACAGGUGGAGCUUUUACGUAUAGGAACUAUAAGGAGAAGGAAACGUUUAGUAAGUUAGACAGAUUUUUAAUCACAGGGGACCUACUAAAUAGGAUUAGAGAGGUGAUACAGAGAGUUUUGCCAGCCUUGAUCUCGGACCACAACCUAAUUAUCUUAGGUGAAGUUGAUUUGAAUUGGGGACCCAAGCCGCUCAGAUUUUUUAAUCACUAGCUUGAGAAGCAAUCCUUUAAAUGUAUGUUUAAGGUAGCAUGAGAAAAGUUAGUGAGAGAGGGAAAGAGAAAUAAAGGGAUUUAGGGGAGAUUGAGAAAAAUAAAAGUAGAUAUUUGAGAGUGGCAACAAAGAGUUUUGUGAGAAUCUGAUAAGAAGAUUGUAAAGAUUGAGACUAAAAUUUUAAGGGCAAAAAAGGUUUUAGUGAAGGGUGAUGAAAGUAGGGAAUGGAGGAAUUUUCUUAUGGUUAAGAGAUAUGAGUUAUGGAAAGCAUUGAGAAUAACGGAGAGAGUGUGGCAUUAAAAAUCAAGAGUUAAGUGGUUCUUGGAAAGUGAUAUAAAUACUAGUUUUUUUCACUCCCUAGCAUCCUCGAGAAGAAGAUCCAACACCAUUCCUGUGUUCAGAGUAAGAGGACAAGUUAUUGAAAAACCUAAGGAAAUAAAUGAUAGAGUAGUGGAUUACUUCGAGAUGGUGUAUAGGGAAGAAAAUACGGUGAAAGUCAAAUAAGUAAGUGGGAGUUUUAAAGUGCUUGGAGAAGGAAAAGUUGUUGAAAUUAAAAGGGAGUUCAUGGAAAAAGGGUAUGGGAUGCUAUUGAUAGUUGUGAUGGGAACAAGGCAUUCGUCCCAAAUAGUUACAACUUGAAUUUUUUCAAGAAACAAUAGAGGAUCAUUAAAAAAAGGUUGCUGGACUUUAUCAAGGAAUUCUUCAAAUUUAGCAAUUUGGAAAGGUGUAUUAAUGCAACUUUCAUUUCCCUCGUUCCAAAGUGUAACUCUCCAAAAAACAACAAGGAUUAUAGGCUAAUUAGUCUAGUAGGUAGCAUCUACAAGAUUGUAACUAAGCUACUAGAUAAUAGGUUGAAGGGAGUGAUAGGGGAUGUGAUCAGCAAUCAACAAUUUGCUUUUAUUAUGGGUCGACAGUUAGUGCACUAUGCUCUUAUAGCUAAUAAGGUGGUUGACGUCAUGAAGCAAGGUAGGAAAGGGGAUGUUCUUUAAAGUGGAUUUUGGGAAAGCUUAUGACACUAUUAACUGGGAAUUCCUUGACUUUGCACUUAAAAAAAUGGGGUUUGGUGCUAAAUGGAGGGGCUGGAUCAAAGCAUGCAUUUUAAUAGCGAGGAUCUCAGUACUUGUAAACGGGGUCCCCAUAAGAUAGUUUAGGAUGAAAAGAGGCUUAAGAUAGGGGUGCCCUCUUUCACCAUUUAUUUUCAUUUGUGUUGCAGAAGCCUUUAAUGUAAUAAUGAGUGAGGUAGUGAAACUUAAUUUUGUUGUGGAAUUAACAUAGGAAAUAAAUGGCUCAUUAUCUCUCACCUUUAGUUUGUUGACGACACAAUCAUUAUGUGCAGACUCGAAUGGAAUUGAGUGAAGAGGGUGAAAGGCAUUUUGAGAUGUUUCUUAUUGACCUCAGGGUCGAAAAUUAAACUCUAAAAAAGCUAUUUGUUUAGAGUAGGAGUGAAGGAGGGUUUGAUCAGUAAAUGGGCCUCAAGGAUUGGAUGCAAGGUCGAGAAGCUUCCAUAUAAGUACUUAGGGCUCCCUCUCGGUGUUAGGAACAACUUGAAGGAAAUAUGGAGACUUGUGAUAGAGAAGUUUGAGAGUAGACUAACAAGGUGGAAGAGGAGAAUGCUUUUGAUAGGGGGAAAAUGACCCUUCUAACGUCAGUGCUAACUAGCUGGCCAAUUUUCUAUAGGUCUCUAUUUAAAAUACCAAUAGGAGUUAGUCAAGAACUAGAAAGAAUACAGAGAAGGCUUCUAUGGGGAGGACUCUUCGGUUAAAGAAAAAUGCAUUAUGUGGAUUAGAAUUUGAUAUGUAAACCCAUGGAGUUAGAGGGAUUGAGGUGAGUCGAUUUUCAAAUGAAAAAUUCUACACUACUUAACAAAUAGAUUUGGAGGUAUGAGAGUGAGAAAGAUAGUCUAUGAAAAAAAGUGUUAAUGGAAAAAAAGGGUGAUAAGCAUAGAGAUCUAAUACCAAGUCUAGAUUUAAAUAAAAAACUAUCAGCCAUAUGGAUGAAUACAACAAGGCCACUAGAUCAAGAAAGACAAGUUGGCGACUUGGUGAGAGGGAGAAUAUGAGUGCUCCUAGGUGACGAUGAGAACAUCGACUUUUGGUUUUAAGAAUGGAUGGAAGGAUGGGUGUUCACGCAAGCUUUCUAGCAAAAUCUUCACCUUGGCAAAAAACAAAAUGGCCCAGUAAAAGAAUUUGGAAGUUGGGUGGAUGGUUUUUGGAAAUGGGAGAUAGAGCUCAAACGGCCACUCUUAGAUUAGGAAAUUAACCAAUGGGAGGCAAUGCUUGCUAUUAUUGAUGAUUCGUUAUUGGCGGAGGGUUAUAAAGAUAAGAUUAUCUAGAAAUGGACUCCGAGUGGUGUCUUUUCAAUUAACUUUUAUUGCAAAAUGCUCAUACCCAAGGACGAGGCUAUGGGUGACUAUUGGAGGAGACUUGUCACGGCCCAAAUUCCCGGGCCAUGAUCGACGCAUGGGCCCAAUGGGCAUAGCCCACCAAGCCCAAGCAAGCCUAUUAUGUAAUCUUGCUUAACAUUCCAUCAGCUAUUCUCAACUCAUCUUUCAUAAGUCCAACUUAUAAUCAUUUUAAUAAUGGGUUAUAGCAAUCAAGAAUUUCACUAAUAUAAACCCAAAAUGAUAUUAACAUUUCAACUCAUGGUGGCAUUAACAGUUAAAAUAUACAUAUUUCAUCUAAGACACGUAUCUUAGUAUUUUACAUCACAUGAACAUACUCAUAAAACAAAAUGACUCUUGACUUCCAGCGGAGUGACCACAGUGAAGAUGCGACUACUGAGAUGCCAUAGUACCCACCCAAAAAGCGAGCAUAUGUGUGCAACUCAAUCUAGGUCCCAACUGCCUCCAAUUUGAAAACAUGAAGUUUAAAAACGUGAAUACGAAACUCAGUGAGUGAACAUAAGAAGGGAACAAGCAAUUAAUAGGAAGAAUUUGAAAAUCAUGAUGCACUUGUUUCAAAAACAAUGCAAUUGAUUUAAUUUCUUACUGAAAACCCCUCAUUUCAAACCUUGAUUAAUGCCCUCAUAGUGUUUCACAAACCCAUGAUCAAUCCAUGAACUUAAAUGGGUGAAAAAUAAGUCAAAAACCGAAUAGGGUAGCAUCUAGGACAGAACGUUUCUCGCUGCAACGAGAAACAGGAACAAUUUGCAUGUGUUUUAGUUUUUCUGACAUAUCUCCCUCUACAGAAGUCCAAUUGACCUGAUUUUUAAACCAUUAGAACGCUAAGAGGUAGGGAUACAACUUUAAUGUUUACCACUUUUCCCGGUUAGAGCAGAAAGGUGGACAAAAGUUUCAUCAAAGUGAAGGCACUGCAUCAGAACCUGAGAAUUUCUCGCUGUAGCGAGAUUUAUUUUCGCUGCAGUGAGUUUUUUGCUGCUAAAACAGAAUGUUUCUCGUUGCAGAUAGAAAGCAUUCUCACCGUAGUGAGAAGCGAGGCACCUAAGUGAAAAAGGGGCCUCCUUUGCACAAAAAUCCAUUUGGUGCUGCAAUAAGGAUCAAUUGGCUAGAAAAUGGGAAUUUCUCAAGAUUUAUCAUGCCAAAUUUCACAUGCAUUAUAACCAUAUACCUUUACUCAUAGACUUCCUAUAACAUACAUAUUUACAUAUGUAUAUUUAUAUAUACCCAACAUCAUCAUGCACACCAUCCCAUCAUCAUCAGCUUAUGCGCACUCCCUACUCGCACAUGGCUGGGUCAUCACCGAGUUAUGCGCACUCCCUACUCGGACAUAAUCGGGCCAUCAUCGUCUUAUGCACACUCCCUACUCGCACAUAGCCGAGUCAAUAUCAUUACACAACAAUAUAUUUAUACGUAUAUAUAUAUAUAUCAACAUAAUGUAGCAGUAUAUGAAUCCAUAAUAGCCACAUAUCACAACACAAAGAUAAUUUUAUCAAGGGCUUGUUCCCAAGGCACCCAUUUUUAAGAAAAGUUUGAUAAAAUCAUUUAAUGUGUUGUGCAAACACAUUCACAUUCCCAAAAAUACUUUGAAAUGCAAGUUCACUCACCGGUCUUGUUAAUUCUUUUGCUUGACUCUAACCUCAACUAAUGCUCCAAAUGGACAUGUGAGGCCUUGUUGGAACUUAUACACACACAACAUCACAACCAACCCAAAUUGGCAUUAAUACCAUUCCAAAACUAUUUUCUAAAUUGGGUUCUACUAGUCAUUCCUAACUAGUUUCCAACCACUAUUAAAUGGCUAUUGUUUGCACUACUCUAAUCACAUUAAAAAUGAGUAAACAACUCAACAAUAAAACAGCUCAUAAUCCCAAUUACUAGCCAUUAUCAACAACUUAAAACCAAGCUUAGUUCAUCACUCACCUUAGGGUUUCUUUGUAGUUGAAUUCUCUUUCAAUAACUUCCAAACAAAUGUGAAAAAUCUCUCUUUUUCUCUCUAAAACCUCCAACUAGUGAGAGAAAGUGCUGAACAAGGACUUUUUGAAGGUUUUAAAGUGAGAGAGUGAAAGAGCACAAGGAUUUUAGUCAAAAGGGCACAAGGGUAUGAAAAUUAUAGCUAGAGAGAGAAAGUUGCGAAAGUUUCAUAUCAAGUUUCCAUGGAGGAUGGAAGCAACGUGAGAUGAAAGAAGAAGAAGGAGAAGAAGCUGCUGGAGAAUGAAGAAGCCGCUAAAAGAAAAAAAAUAUUUAUAGCUCAAGCUUAUCCAUUCCACUUGAAAUUACGAAAAUGCCCUUAGCACAUUAACUUGUUCUCCUUCAAUCCUUGGUGCAAUCUUUUUACUCUUUUGAUACUAAAACAAUUCCAUAAUGGUCUAGACAUACCCGGGUUUAUGAAACUUAAAAUUUUAACCCGAGGUAAAAAAUGACGAUUUUGCCCCUAUGGUGAAAAUUUUUGAAACUUCUAGUUUUUUUCAUGUUUUCAUCAUUACACAUUAUUUAUUCGAUCUUAUGCCUAUUUAGACCUUAAAAUAUCAUAAAACCUUCUUCUGGGAGUUUUUUAGAGGAAAUGAUGAAACUACCCCUAGCUCGGGUUAUUACGCCUAUGCCUCGUUAUGAGCCUAUAGGGGUUGAGGUCUCACAAGACUUUGGAAAGGAGUGGCACCUCUUAAAGUGGAAAUAUUCUACUGGAGGCUUUUAAAAGGUAGGAUUGUUAUGAAAGUGGAACUUGUCAAGAGUGGUCUUUUGAGAACCAACCUUGUUAGAUGCGUCUUACGUAAAUGGAGAAAAAAAAUGGUGGAUCACCUCCUUUUCAAAUGCAUUAAGAGUUGUUGAAUUUGGAAAAAAGUAGCUAGGCCAUGGGGAGUACAGUGGUCAGCCCAAGUGACAAUUUUAAAGUUCUUCCUUGAAUAGAACAAUCUCAUCCAAAAUGGGGAUGUAAGCAUUUGGAGGUCGACUUUCUUUGCUGUCAUUUGGACGAUAUGGCUAAUGAGAAAUGAAAUUAUUUUCCAAGGGAAGAUUCAGGAUGGGUAACAAUGCUUGGAUCUCAUCAAUUCUAGAAUAUCAUGGUGGGUUAAGGCAAAGUGGCCUUAUAAGUAUGAUAAGUUAAAUAAUGUCAUGAUAAGAUCUUCAAUGGCCAAGAGUGGCUUGGUGUUCAAAAAGGAUAACCAAUGUCCUGAGUGGAAACCGCUGAGUAAUGGCUUCCUCAAAUUCAAUGUCGACGGGGCUGCUAGAAAGGACACAAGUAGAGCAGGUAUUGGUGGAGUUUUAAGGGACAAAGAACAGGUUAUCAGAAUAAGGUUCUCAAUAGCAGUAAUGGUAGAGAAUGCCAACAUGGUUGAAGUUAUAGUUAUUAAAGAAGUCUUUAGGAUUUUUGCUAGUUCUAGUUGGGUAAGUACUUUAGGCCUAGAGGUGAAAAGCGAUCCUAGUAACGUCGUUUAGUGGGUUAGUGAUCCUUAAAAAGUUGAUUGGGAGAUCGAAAAGUUCUUAAGAUUCCUAGAAGGAGUAAUGAGAAGGCGAACGAACUUGCCAAGGUAGGUGUUAAUAGGAUUGACGAUGUUUUUAUGGUUUCAGAUCAAGGAAUGGAAUAUGUGGAAGGGGAGCUAUAGCCAGCUUUGUUGAUCCCAAUGGACAUCAACAAACAUAGGGAGGUAUUUUCAGUUUUUGCCUUUUUUUACUAUUUUUUAAGGGUUUUUUCUUUUCUUUGUGGUAGCUAGAGAUAGUCCCUUUCUCUUUACUUUGCAGAAGGUUAUGCGGGCUUUUAGAUGAUAAGGUCUACUUUAAUGUCUUGCUUGGAAAAAAUAAAUGAAGAAAAUAAAAGAAAAGAAAGGAAAAAAGAAGAAGAGAAAUGAUAAACAAAAGAAAAAAGAAUCGACCCAAAGUAAGAAAAAAAAAAGAGAAAAGGAAAAGAGAAUUUUGUGAAUAUGGGCAAAAGGAAUCAUGAAAAGAAAAAAGCAAGCCUUUGUCAAUUACUCCUCUCCUAUGGGGGUGAUAUCUGAUUUGAGUUUUUGAUGGUUAGCAUCAAUAUGAUUCAAGUCAUAAGGGGUUAAGCGAGGGGUUCUUUUCUUAGUGGAUUUAUGGCUAGUUUGUUUCUUUCAGUAGGCUCCUUGGUUUUGUUGCUUUCUUUUGAAGGUUCUGUGUGAAAAUGAUUUUAUCUUCUUCUCUUUUCAACUUGUUUAACCCUUGGUUUGCUUUGUUUCUUCAAGAAUCCCUUUCAAUUGAGUCCUUUGCCUUCUAGGUGUUCUUUAGGAUCGAGUAGGAGGUGGGAGGUUUGUUGACCAUUUUUAUUUUUUGAAGGAGUUUGCUCAACACCUUCUGCGCAUCUUACUCUCCACUGAAGAUGUCUUGUGAAGAGGAAUGAAGUUUUGUCCUCUUUUGUGUUUUAGAUGGGUUGUCAAGUGAGAAUGUUUACUAAUUGCUUGUUCAUGCCUUAAGGGUUUUGAUAUCUUUGUUGUUUAUGAAGGGUUUAUGUCUCCUUCGUGGUUGAAACGAUUCCCUACAAUUGUUUUUGCAUUUGAAACUUUGAUAAAAAAGAUAAUAUAUACAAAAUAUAUAUAAUAAUAAUAACAGUAAAUAUAAAAAAAGAAAAAAAGAAAAAAAGGAUAAAGAAAAGAAAUAAAUAAGAACAAAAAAAGAUAAGAACAAAAACAAAAGGAAAAAAUCAUGAUAGAAGUGGUAUGGACUGUUUUUUCCAUCUCUUUUUGUUGGAAAAUGGCAUUUUCUAGCAUUCUCUCUUUGUGUUCCUGAUUUUCACUUGUUCCUUGGGUUUUUCUGUGGAUGGUUCAUUAAGGUGUUGGUGGUUUCCUUGCUUUAAGGUUGGAGGGGGAGAAUGGGGAUGCUAGGGUCUUUUUGUUUCUAUCUGUUGUGGUGCAGUGUUGACCCAAGUAAAGGGUGAACUGAUUAAAGGCAAUUUAGUUCUUUGAGGGGCUGUUGGAUGUUGGUUUUUGAGAUGACUUUAGUUUAUGUGUGACUUGAUCCUUUUUUCUAGUUAUGUUCCUUAAGGGUCUAACUUGGAGUGAAUGAAAGGAUAUGUCUCAAUGACACACCACUUUCGUGGAAAUCAUGAAGGGGGGUGGGGGGGAUGGUGACGGGGAAAGGGGUGAGACGAUUAUGUUGGUUUGUCCCUUUUAAGGGAAGGAGUCUUUGUUCUCUAAAAGGAAAUGAUUCUUUGGAUUAAUGUUCUUUUGUUGGGGGGACAAUGAGACUUUAGGCAAUAGAAUUGGUCUCUCCAUCAUUGAUCAUUGCUGUUGUUGGUUCUAAAGUUGCGUUGGUUGCUUUCUUGCACCACUAAUUCUUGUGAUAAUUCUUUGGUGACUUUCUUAGGUAGCCUUGCAUGAUAAGAGGAACUGUUUGCUUGUCGACUAAGGGCCUGGCUAUUCAUCCAUUGGAUUCAUCUUCUAAUGUAAGAUCUGGCUAAGAGCAUUUUUUGUAUUCAUUUUAUGUUCUUCAUCUUUUUGUUAAGGGGCUGUUUAGUGUUACUGACAGCCAAGGUUUUGGGUUAGAAAGGCAUGCUUACUACUAAAUUCAACCUUUGUUCAAAGCAAGUCUCUAGGAAAUGGUAAAGAGUUAUCCUUUUGCUUUGUAGCUCAACUAGGGAAAGGGAUUGCUGGUAUUUUGUAAACAAUUCCCCUCUGUAAUUGUGUAUAACUGUUUAUGCACAUGCCAAAGAUCGUAUGCUAGCAAAAGUCUCUAGCAACAUGUUAAAGACUUCAUAUGGCAUAGAGGCUUCGUGCCAAUAAAAUCACUUUUCAAAAAAAAAUAAUACUAAUUACAUUCAUGAACUUGUUUUUGUUAAACAAAUACAUAGAAUAAUGAUAAUUCAUAAUUGAUAAUUAGGUAAUAUUCAUACAAUCAUGAUACACAAUACAUGUACUAAGUUCAAUGUUUUGAAAAAAAAUAAAGAAUAUCUUGAUAAAUUAAUUUUUUAUUAAUUAAUGUAUAAAUCAAUAAAUUAUUAAUUUAUAAAUUAAAUAAUUUCUUGAUUAAUUAAUAAAUUUUCAUAAUCCCAAAGAUAUUAAUUUAUAGAGAUUUACUGUAUUAUUAAAUGAAAAAUUGAUCAUCCUAACAACCCACGAGAAAAUAAAAGAUGUAGUAAUUACUUGAUAAAGCAUGACCUAGAAAAAGAUGCCAUUGAUACAAAGAAGAACUAAAUAUAGUGGCAACUGACACAUGUUGCAUAAGGAGGUGGAAGAAGACAAGCUCAAACAAUCUUUCCACCUUGUGGGUGUCCUAAGAAUUUUUCCCAUCUGUUGGUCUUGUACCUAAGAACCAAAGGAAGAGAAGAGAAUAGUGAAGCCUCAAUCAUAUAAUUGACUUAUAGAAAUAAGAUUCAAUGUUAAAAUACAUAGUAGGUAUUUAGAAGAGUAAGAUUCAAAAACAUGUCUAAUGUGAGUGAUAUUUAUUUUGUAUCAUUGACAGUAUGGAUGGAAGGAAAAGACAAAGGACAUUUUAGUGGAUAAAAUAAAAGGAUUAAGAGUCAUAUAAUUACAAGAAGCAUAAUCAAAGAGUGAAAUGAAUCACCUAGAGUAAAAGAGAGGGUAGUGUGAAAAAAAGAACUCGAAAAGAUAAUUUAUUUUAGUAAAGUCUCAAUAUCAUUUAUAGUGGGAGUAGUAACGUCCUCAAAUGCAGAAGUGACAAUGGAUGAAGAUUCAGAGGUUGAAAAAUCUUCCCUAGGCUUAAAGGUACAACCUUUUUGAUUUAGGUGAACACACAUGACGGUUCUCAAUAAUAUUCCCAACCUUAUGACAUCAUUAGGCAAUCAUAAAAGUUGUGACUUUUUUGCGAUAAUUCUUACAAAGGCUCAUGAUUUCUGAUUUGAUGGACUGGAAAGUAGCAACAUGAGCAAGAUUAGUAUGGGAGAUUUGUCCAGGCCAAGGUGCGUCUUAAAAAAUGAUUCCUAGAUUAGUAGUAUCUAGAUCGGAAGGACUACAAUAUAGCAUUAAAACUAUAAUAGCUUCACAUUCUAAAGAAAGAGCUAGUUGAACCUUGAUAAGAUAAAGAAAUUCUCAUUGAUUUUAGUCUGAGUCAGUUGAUUCUAAAAAGGUUGAACUUGAGUAAAAAAGUCAUUUAGAUUGUGAAGAGUAGUUGAUAGCUAGCAGAGCAGCUCCAUAAGUUUUAUGCUUAGUGGCUAAAAAAUUUGUUGAAGUAGUGCAAGGGGAUUUAGGGACUGCCAUUUGAGGGAUUUGGUGUUGACCUGCAACAAUUUGUUCGAAGGGUGGUGGAAGGAAAUUGGGUUUGUUUUGGUUUUUUGGACAAGAAUUUUUAAAUUCGGUAUAUAGGGUUUUGUUUGGGUUGGUUUUUGGACUUUUAUUAACUUUAUAUUUAAUGUGUUUGGGGUUUUGUUGUUGCGUUAAAAAAAUUCAAAAGUGUUGAGUUAUUUUAGUUGGGUUGAUUUUGGAUAUAUUUUGCAUGUGCUAUAAGUUAUUUUGUUCGUUAUUAUUAAAGUAAAAAUAUUUUAUUAUUAAAUUAAUUAGAAUUAAUGAAUUAAUAAUUAUAAAUUUAUAUAAGACAAUACUAAAAAUGAGAGAAAAAUAUAAUUAUUGAGGUAAAAUAUAUUUUAUUAUUGAAUUUAUUUAAAUCAAUUGAAAAUUAUAAAUUCAAUAAACAACUAGUUAUCGACCCGCGCUAGGCUGCAGGAGUUAUUAAUCGAUAUAUAAUUUGAAAAGAUUAUUUUAUUCGUAGAUUAUUUUGAAUAGUUAAUAUUAAUAUAUUUUAUUAUGGAAAAAGCAAAGUGGUCUUUGUAGACAAAACCAUUUGAUUAGGAAGUAACAUGAAACUUUUUACAUGACAUAAUGAAGAAGGCACCCAAAGUCUUAGCUUUAGCAUUUCUUGUAAAAUGACAUAAUGUAUUUUGGUUUGGAGGUGCUUCUUAAAAUGAAGAAAUAAUGCCCUAGAUACAGCUUUUGAGUCAUAUGAAGCAGCCAAAUUACUCAUAGCUGGAUCGUCUAGUCUGAUCGGUCAAUAUUAUAUCCCUAUCUUCGUAUGAUGGGAAAGAAAGAGUGCUGCUCUUCUCUUCAACGGACCAAUCAUCAUCUCUGCAUAGAUAAAAAAGGAAAGAAGUCAAAAUCAAAAUAUAGAGAACAAUCUCAACACCUCAAUCACCAUAAUUUCUUCAUAAAGUUAAAUUCAUUUUGAAUGUAUUUAUUGUAUCAGACAGGAUCAUUUAUCAAAUAAUUUAAUUACUAAAUUCUUUUACUUGAAAUCCUAAAUGUCAAUAUUAUACGUAAGUCAUGAGUAUCCCAUCACCAUACUUAACCAUUGAUAUUUAGUCCAAGCUAUACAAUUGUAAUGAUGUUGUUUCAUGUUAAAGUUGAAAGAUGAACUUAUUGAUUAAUAUAUCAAAGAACUGCUAACCACACAAGAAACUGUAGACACCAGUUGUGAGACAUGUAGGUUUUAGAGUAAAAAAAACUAAGACUAAUUUUUCUAUUGAUGGACAAACAAAACUAAGACUUGGAAGAAACUGCAACGAAAAAUAACUUGGAAAAUGGCUCAUCCUCAACCUUGUUGCUUCCUAUGGUGUCAUAUACCUUCAUAAUCAAAAUGGUAGAUCAUAUGCUUUAGUCACCAUCUUGCAUGUACUUUUAAAAACAAUUUCAACUUAAGUUUAUGCAUUGGUGGAAGUGAUAGAGCCUUGAAUCACAAAUAUAAACCUAAGAAUACGAUGUGUUCCAAUAUAUCAAAAUAUAUUACCUUGUCCUAUAAAUAAUCCAUGGUAGUUGAUGUAGUUGGAAUGUCCUUUUUAAUGAAAGUCAACUAUUAGAUUUUCUAUUUUGGAACAGAAUGGAUGUUCGGGUAGCAUUCGUACUCCCAAUGUAGUCUAACAUUCAACAACCAUAUACUCAUCAAUAUUCAUACCUCAAUUCUCUAUUUCAUAACUAAUUCUAGCUUUCAACUUAUUUCCAGCCUUAUCAAAACAGCUCAAUCUAUGGCAAAUCAACAUAUAAUGCUCAAAUCCUUUAAAUUCUUCAACAUUAAGCGAAAUCUUUACCUUAGAUGUUAGUUUGGCGCUUUCAAAUCUCAAAUCCCCAGCCACAUUCAAGCACCAAUACCCACCAAGCUACAACAUUAAAUUUCUCAUGAAUAAACGGUUCAAUUUGAAAAUCAAUCGGUAAAAAGCAUUAAAUUUACCUUAGGAUUCAUUUUCCAGCCUCCAAAUGCCUUCUUUCAACCUCAAAAUGGAGUAGGGGACAAGGCUUUUGAGAGAGGUAAUGAAAAAUGUAAGGAGUGACACAAACCAGAGCUACCCAGACGCCAACACAGCCACAUAUGCCUUCAGCUGCUUCAAGGCCACCGCUUGUCUAGUUUGCGCAUGAACAUUCCUGGAAACAUCGCUGCUUUUAUUCGAUAUCUCUUUGCUCUCCAUUAGAGAGAGUUGAAACCAAGCUGUGCUUGGCUUUUUUGGUAAUGGCAUUUUAUAGUUUGAUUUUUCAAUAGGCGGAAGAGACGAGGUGGGGAAGAAACGAGCAAAAACAAAACUGAAAAGUCGAAAAUAACCUCUAAACACAUUUAAAUGCCAAAGACAGAUGUAGGUAGGAUUCAUUAUACUUUAGAUUAGAUAAUAAAAGGAAGGAAAGAAAAAAGAAUUAUAGGAAAUAAAUAAAUCACUAUAAUAAAAAUUAUAAUUAUGAUAAGCAUGAAUUUAACUAAUAUAUACAAGGAAGAUGAAAGAAAGAAAGAGAACGGAGGGGCAAACAAUAAUCUUAGCAUGGGACCAAAAUUGAAACAUCGAAUAAAAUAUUAUCAAUUUAAGUUAAACAAUAAUAAAAAGAAGAAAAGACAAAAAAAAAAUAUAGAAAAGUGUAGUUGGUAUAAUUGGAAAAAGAAGGCACAACGAAAAAUGAACUUUUUCUUUUAAUUUUCUUGUUCCGAAGUAUGAAUUGGUGUGGUCUAUGGAGUGAUUGACGUGCAUAUGUAUUUGGAUUAGAAAUGCAUUUGCUUGAAUUGACCUUUUACCAUAAAUAGAUUGAAAGACUAUCUGGAGAUUGGACCAAUAGUGUUUCCAGUCAUGUUUAGGCCAAGAAAAUGAGAGAGAGCAUAUUAAGUCUUGGUCUGAAUUGGACUAGUGAGACAAAAAACGGAAAAAAAUCUUGUCUGGGAUUGGAUAUGAUAGCAUGACUAAUUUCUUUAAUGAAUUACAAUUAACCCUUAAAUAAGUUAUAGUAAUUAAAAACAAUUCUCUUGAGAUAGUGUAAAUAAGGAACAAAUUAAUGAGUUUCACAAGAUUUCAAUUUCAGAAAGUCCCGUGAAACGAUUAUGAUAUUAUUUGUAUAUAUCAUAACUUGUUGUCUCAUAUAUGUUUUUAAAUUUUUUUAUCGAUAAAUAUUAAUUUUAGUAAAGUGAUAAUUAUAAUUCAUGACGUAUAUAUGUAUUUAAAAUUAUAGAUCCAAAGUAUAUACAUCAAAGCUCUACUUACUUAGUGGCUGUUAUUUUUUACUUAAAUGUUAUUUUUUACUUAGUGUUCCUAGUUCAUAAAAACCCAUCCUGUCUAAUAUUUAUAUAACAAGGAAAAGUUAUCUAUUUCUUGAUCAUUAUUCUGGUUUUACAAUCCAGUUUCUCUCCGUAGAGAGUACAAGUGCAUGUGUGCAACGAAAAGCUGUUAGCACGGUGCUGUCUUGUCUAAAUUCAUUUACCAGCUUAGUUGUUAUCUUUAAUAUUCCUAGCUCUAGCUUUAACUUAUAUAACUAUUUAUUUUUUAUUUUUUGAUCUUGGUCUAAGGACUUCAAUUUUUUUUUAUUAAAUUGUUUCUUUGAUGACAUAAUUAAGUUGUUUUACGUUAUUUUAGGUGCCUCAUCAGCCAAUCUAGAUUCUCUUGUGUUCUUUUUCAAUGGCUGUUUCAAUGGUCCAUCACACAUUUAUGAUGAUUUUUUAAGUUUUAGAGGUGUAGAUAUGCGUAAAAACUUUACAGAUUACUUUCACAUGGCUUUGGUGUUAGUAAGGUUUCACACAUUUAGAGAUGAUGAUGAAAUUGAAAAAAGAGAGAACAUAACUGACAAGAUUGAAAGAGCAAUAUUGCAAGCAUCAAAAAUAUCUAUCAUUGUCUUCUCCAAGAAUUAUGCUUCGUCAACAUGAUGCCUUAACGAACUUGUACAGAUAAUGGAACAUAGGAAAUUCUCCAAACACAUUGUUUUGCCAAUUUUCUAUGACAUGAAUCCAUCUCAAGUCAAGAAGCAGACAAGGAGUUUUGCAGAAGCGUUUGAUAGACAUGAAGAGAGCUUCAAGUCUGAGAUGGACAUGGUACAAAGAUGGAGGGUUGCUUUAAGAGAAGUUGCGGAUUUGGGAGGCAUGCUUCUAGAAGAUAAGUAAGCAAGUUUUAAACUAUUUGAUCUCUUCUUAAAAAUUGCGAACUUAUAUACAGUCAUUAUUUCAUGAUACUAGUUCUGUGUAUUUUCAAUAUGUAAGUGAACAACCUAUUUUACUACUUUUAUUUCAAAUCGAAUGUCCACUUUUAAUUAUUUUUUAUCAUAUAAAAUCGACUUUGAUUAUUCUUUAUUAUAUUCUCAUAUGUAAUUAAAAUUUCCAAAAACAACUUUUGAAAAAUUUUAAAAUAAAAAUUUUCAAUUUUUUUAUUUUUUAAUUCCACAAGGUAUUGCUUUAAAAAUAAAGAAUAAAUAAAACUAUGAAAAAAAUAAAUAAAAUAAUAAAAACAGAUAUAAAAAUAAAGAUAUAUAUAUUUUUUGGUAUAUCUUAUUAGUAUAUCCUAUAUUACACAAUAAAUUUCACAAAACCAAAAAGUUAUAAUGACAUGCAACUUUUCUUAAACUCGGUGCCAUUAAAAUAGGGACCAACAAAAGAUUUAGAAAAGAUUAACGAUGGCAAAAUAACGUUGUUGUUCAGUUUUCUACUCACGUAAGUGUACGUAUCGCAAAUAUAAUAUAGAGAUGAGUAGAGUGUCGAUCCCAUAAAGAAUUGAAUUAAUACUUACUGUUAACUACUAAAAUGAGCACACUUUAAUUUUAUCUAAACAAUUAAAAUUAAAAAGAACGAUUUGAAACUAAAAUCUAUUAACAAAUUUACUUUCUUAAAUUCGAGUGACCACCAGACCUAAGAUUAUGAUAUUCCUCAAUACUUCAUUUGAAUAUUAUCUCUCCCUCUUAACUCAGUUUAAUGGAUUAAGUUGCUAACCUAGAGUUCUAAAUUAUUUACAAGUCCCUGUCGAGCUUCUUAUAAAAAUACCUCUCUCAAUUAAUUUACUAUAUGUCUAUGCAAAUUAUAUUGAAGAAAGAUUCAUUAAGUUUGUGCUCUAAUCCUGGCUACGUAUAGCUUAUAAGUGUGUUUACCCCAUAUGCAAAUCAAACCACCUAAUCAACUAAGUGUAUUCGAUCAUACGCUAUUCGAUUCAAGGUCUACCUAAAUCUCCUUCAUCAAGGUUUAACCUAGGUUUCUAAUUCAAUCUAAUUGGUGAUCAGGCAAUUAGACGUAUUAAGAACAGAAUAAAAUAAACAACUUAAAUCUAUCAGACAUAGGUAAAAGAGAGAUAAAUAAUUCAGACUAUAUAUUGAGUUCAGUCAUAAUCUUAGAUUAAAAAUUUAGUUUCCUAUCAAGUCACACAUUAUCAUUGAAUAAAAUCUAAACAUUAAAAGCACAACCAAGAAAAUAAGAGAAUAAAGGAAAAUAUAGAAAAACUCAAGAAUUGUGUUCUUGAUCUCCAAAUCUCCUUGAAUCCUGCAAAUUCUUCUUAGCUUCAAUGCCUCUGUGACUUGACUCUUAGAUGUUAAUCUAGUGUUUUUUUCCUUUCUUCUUUAAGUCAUCCGAAAAGGUUGUUUUUAUAGACUUUGAAGUUAGGCCAAAUUGGAUGAAGAAAGAAGUCAAUUUUAGCUAGGAUUUCCUCAUCAGACUAUGUAAGUCACUGCCUUGCCCAAUUAAUUAAUAGAAAUCGUAAUUGCUCUAGGACUACUACCGUAUGUCAACUUUGAUAAGAUUUUUGACUACCUUUGUCACGACCCUGAACUCCCAUCGAGCCCAUGACAACCGCCGCGACGUCUCGAUCGACAUUUAUUACCCGAAAUGUCAACCGGAACCCCGCAAGGCCUUAAUAUCAACUUUUCAUUUCCCCUGUGGGUAACUGUUGCCAAAUACCACAUUCUAAAAGAUUUAAAACUGUUUCCAACUUAAACAAAUAAAAUAAUAAUUUUCGUCUCACAGGGGUAUUUUUGUCAUUUAUCCCAAAAAUCUCAAAAUCAGUUAAAAAUAUAGUAUGUAAGUGGAAAACACAUAUUUCAUAAUCCAAAAUAAUUUUAGAUGUCUAAAACAUUUGUUUAAAAUGAAAUUAUGACUGUUAGAAUAAAAUAAAAGUAUUAAAUAAAAUAUUCAAUUUUCACAUAAAACAAUAUUUUAAUAACACUGCAUAAAAAUUUUUAUAGUGUAAAAGCAAAAUAAAUUCCUACAUACCGUAAUGCAGAUAACCAAAGUAUAGAAUUAAUUUACAAUGACACGUGGGCCCACAAAUGACCAAAAGUAUAAAAAGAAAUGAACCUACAGUUUUUGGAUGUGGCAAGUUCAACUAUAAUCCUCGCCGAUAUCAGUUAUCUACAAUCUAUUCUGAGCCUGAAAUUGGUGGAAAGGAGGAUGGUGAGAUUAUAAAAUCUCAGUGAGUAAACAAACAUCACUCAAAAUAUCUAAAGUCGAGUAAAAUGAGACUAUUAAAAUAUUUCAUCAAACUGUAAUUUAUCAUCUUCCAACUUAUUUCAACCAAAUGAAAUCAAUUUAUUUAAAGCAAGUAAUCAGUAUGGCUUAUGAAUUUCUUAAAAAGCUUGGCUCAUGCCAAAAAUUAUUAUCAUACUCAGUUAUUUGGGAUACCUUAGCCGAGGGCUAUCCCAAUUGAGUCUGCCAAGGCUAUUAGAAAGUCAUGUUUUUAUUUUGAAAACAUAGCCGUUCCUUGGCGUUGGCCGAGUUCCCCUUCACGUGGUGGUUUGGCGUGAAGUGAACUCUAAAAGUUAUACCUCGGGAGUUACCCUACUCGCCUCUUCAACCGAGGUAAAAAUAUAAUAGGAUUCUGUGUCCCUCUAAUAGACUAAUCCACAGAACCCAGCCCACUACAGCAGGUCAAACCCACCAUACAAUAAAAUUUUGAUAGCAUGACAAGACUAAUAUAUUACUACCUAGCCUGUAAGGGUAAAAUAAAGCAAUUCAUACAAUUCAUAAAAAAUACAGCCCAGCUAGUCAUGCCAAUACAAUAACAUAAGCCAUUAAUUCAAUUUUAAAUUUACAACAUAUCAAUGGUCUCCAAUUAGUCUAUUUUCAAAAUCAUUAUUUCGUUUCAAGACAACUUCUAAAAUAUUUUCAUUUAAACUCAUUUUGUUUACAAAACAUAAAAAUUUACCAUUUUAACUCAUUUUCAUAAAAUUCACAAAAACCGAAAAAAAAGAUAUUUUAGAUAAUUAAAGUGAUGGUAAGGUUACUCACAGUGUCUAGAGUAGGCAUUUUCGAAAUACUCAGACUACUGGUCCUCGGGUGCAAUUCCCUUGCCUUUAUCGGAGGACUCACCACCUUGACAGAGUACAAAAUUGAGAAAUUCACCACAUUGGUACUAAAUUGAAAUUAAACUAAUUUAGACUACUAAUGCUUGAUAUGGAAUGCAAAAAUGUCUAAAUUUUGCCUAAACGCGGUGUUAACCUAUUUCGGUCUUUUACCCGAUAAAUCGAUAUACGCGUUUGUCUAAACUCCAAAUUAAUUUUUUUUUCAGUUUUUAUACCUCAAUUGCACCCAAAUUGACUUAAUGUCCCUCAGUGUGGUGCAAAUUAUCAGUCUCGACAACAAAUUACGAAAAUAACCCUAGUGGGUAAAAAUUUGUAUUUUUACUCCGAAAAUUUUCAUUAUUUUUCUAGGCUCAUAAUUCAUCAUUAUUCAUCAUAAUUCCUCAAAUAAACAUCAAGAUCAGCAGCCAAUAUUCCCCUAGAAAAUUCGGCAUAAUGGGUUUCAAUGGGAGAAAAUUAUAUUUCUAGCUUAUUUUUGCUAUAUUUCAAUAUAACUUAACUAAAAUCACUUAAUUCAAUUAAAAUCAACCAAAAAUCAAGCUCAAAACUCAUCCAUGGAGGUUUGGCCAGCAUGGGUGUCCAUACCCACUUUCUAAUUUUGCAUGGAAAUGAGAAAAAAAUGCAUGGGUAGUGAAAAUCACAAGGAAAAUCAAUGAAAUUUACCUUUUUAAUGCUUGAUUUCUUGAUUUCUCUUGAUUUUCCCCAAAUUUUUCAGGUAGGAUUCUUGUUUUUUUUUUUCCCCUUUUCUCCCCUGGUUUGGACAGCUGAAGAAGAUGAGAAUUCCGGAAUUUUUACCUUUUUAAAGGCUAAAAUAAUAUAAUAUUAUUUUAUUCAUUUUUUUAAUGUUUUAUUAAUUCCUUAAAUUCUAGCCAUCCAUUUGUUUCCAAAUUUUCACCAUACACUUGUCCCACAUAUCCAUAGCUUAGGUAAAAUUCUCAGACUUAUCCAAAGUCUUGGUGGAGUAAUUUUUGAAAUUUACACUUUUACCCCCGUAAAAGUCAAAAAUUACAUUUUUGCCCCAAAAAUUGAAAAAUUGCCCAUAGACAUAUUUUUCAUCCCUUAUACUCAUACCAUUCUCCAAUUUGUCAAAUUUGAUCUAAAUUCUCUCAAAAUCUCAAAUUUUGUCCGCGGGUGGCAAAAUUACGAUUUUGCCCCUACACUCUAGAAAUCACUGGAAUUAAACUUUUUCACUGCCAAACCCUCAAAUUAUACUCCAAUACUCAAAUCAUACUCCAAUAAGUCAAAUGGGGCUAAAAAAAUUCUUUUCUAAAAAUUCCCAUUGUGUCCUUGGGUGGCAAAUGACCAUUUUGCCCCUGGACAGUAAAAAUUCUAGUUUGACUUCAAAUUGAUCCUCGAACUCCAAAUCACCAUAUUAAACCAUUCUGGGACUUUAAUAUUCUUAAUUUCAUUUUAAAUUCUCUAUUUGAUCUAGUUCGAGACUUAAAUUAACUUAAUUGUACCAUUUGGUACAUUGUCGUCUUUUAACGAUUUUUCUUUCAGGGCUUUCCAAGUAUGCAAGCAUAUUGUCAAUCAUAUGAAUGACAUGGAAAGUAUUUUAUAAGGUCGGGCUUGACAACACUACCCCCCUUAAAAUAAAAUUUUGACCUCAAAAUUUCAUGUACUGAACUCAGAGAAAAUGUGGGGGUAUUGUUUUCUCAUCUAAUGCUCGACUUCUUAUGUCUUCCCCUUUAUAGGGAAUUUCGAUUUGUUCACCUCAUUUACCUCCAAUUCAACUCAAGUACUUCGCUUAUGUCUAUUAUUAUCCUUUAAAAUCAGAUCAACAAUAACCUUCACAAUUAUGAUCUCUUAUAUUGAGACAUUAAGCAUGCUUCUAUUACUAUCAUUAAGCUUGAACCAUAACUCCAUCUCAAUCAUACCAAUUUCGAUCGCAUUUUAUUCUUAUUUAGGUAUACCAAUCACUAUCUUAUUACUUCAUUCCAUAUCAAACUUCUCGACUUUCAUUCAUUCAUCCUAUCCUCAUACACUAUUGUGUAGUUUACAACAUCAUUAACACGCCAUACUCAUUCCUGUACAUAUCCUCAGCGUUCGGGAAAAUUAAUGGCUUUAAUUAUUUCUACAUAUUUCAUGUUUACUUUGCAUUUAGGAAAUUUCAAUCUUCUUAAUCCUAUUAAUCCAUCUCAUAUGGCUUAAUCGUACUAUAGAUUAUAUUCCCUUAACUAUUUCUCCAAAAUUCCUUAGGUCACCAUAAAUCGUCUUCUGAUAAGAUUCUUAAUCGUUACAUUAUCUAUACAACUCAUCAAAUAUAUUGAGUUCAAAUCUUGAACCACUAAAACCAUUAUUCAUUUAGUUGGGUACAUCACUACUCCACACAUACAUAUACAUAUACAUUCAAAUGUCUAUAUUCCUCAUUAUGUAUACGAGUCUCUAUUUUCAAAUGCCUUCAGACUAAUUUCUCUUAAUUCAUUCCCAUCCACAAUCAAGAUUCAAUAGAAUAAGCUUCAUAAUUCAUACAAAUUCUCAUCAUGCCUGUGUAUAGUUCCUCAUCAUUUAUAUACUUAUAUUCUCUUCUUAUCGUUUCCAAUUAUAUGCUUAAGUUUCCUUGUACUGUAUAUCAUUGCAUCACAAUGUCAUCUCCAUUGAAUUAUAAUCUAUUAUGCGUGUAUGUUUUAUAAUCCCAUUGGUAUCUCAAAAAUUUAUCUUGACUUGAUCAUUGCAUCUUAUGCAAUACUACAAUUCCUAAAAGUCAUCCUUAUUCCUCGAUUAUCCUUCAUGUCUCCUAUAUAUUGUAUCCUUAUUGCAUUUCGAUAUUGAUUUGUCACUUAAAACUCAGAUUCAUUUGAAUCAUGUAUGCCUCACGCAUUUUCGAAUUCCAAUUCCCAUAAUAUAUUAAGAAAGUUUCAUUAUCUGACUUCAUUAUCAAGGUUAACUUCUAUCAUCCUUUAUUCCACUCUUUCAUAUGAAUAUAACAUCAUUCUUCCUUAACUAAUUUACAAAUUGUACUUGAAAUUACAAGACUUGAAACUAAAUUCUCCUCAAGUACUUUUUAAUGUUAAUACUUAUACCACUCUCAGCUUAUAGCUUCCUUUUUAUAACUACAUAACUUAGUGCUUGCUUUCACAAGAUCCAUGGCAGAACUUCUCUUGAGUAUUUCCUUAGGGAUAUUUAUUUUAAAUUUAUGUCUCACAACAUAUGAUCAUUUAACCCGUAACUUAGCCAUUUGGCUCCUUAGCAAGUUUCAAAGUCACGCAUCUUAUGCUCAUCAUGUAUAACUUAUAAUUCUUUCUCAAGGGCGUUUAAACAUUCUUGAAACACUUAAUCACUUAUUUACUCUUUUAUACACCAAGUAUAUCAUUUCCAUAAAGGCAUGCCCAACUACUCAUGCUUCAAUUUAUCUCCAUGGGUUUCUAGCAUGUCACCUAGUUUACUUGUGUUGUUACUAAUCCUUUCCUUUCAACAAGGUCAAGACAAGAUCAGUAUAUUCUCAUAACAAUAUUCUAUAUAAACUCAUUUGCUAUAUCAUUAUUGAAAUCUUUAUUUACAUUUUCCUCACUUGCUAUUGACAUCUCUUAUCAGUAUCUCAUACAUUCAUCUAACCUUUCGCUCGCUUCCUCUUUAGUCUUUAACAAGACUUAAUCUCUUGUCUUCUUUAUUUCUUAAGAUUUGACUUCAGUCAUCAUAUUAUUCAUCUUAACACUCCACAUGUUAAUUUAUUUUUAUGUAGCCAUCUCAAAAAUUCUCUAACUUUUCUUUCUCUUACAUGCCAAUAUAUAUAAGGCAAUAAUAAAAAAAAAAAAAAAAAACUUUGCAAUUUCACUCAUCAUCUUUAUCUUAAUACCUCCCAAUGCACUUAAGACUCCAAACAACAAAGCUUAGCAUGAAAACCAAUGACCAUUCUUCAACUCGUGUGUUUCAUCUUCAUGCCACUCUCAAUUUGCUCUGCUUUCUAGCCAUUAGGGGUUCUUAACGUGACAGCGUUUGAUAGUCAGUACUGUGGCGUUGCAAUGGUUUGAAUUCACUUUAUCUUAGCAACUCUUCCACCUUUAAAGCUACUACCUCAAUUAUUCACAAUCGUGUGGCUUCCCUUCGAGUCUAUACCACAAUUAGCAAGACUAACUUUCUAUCACAAGUGUGCGAUCAAAACAUUGAUUUAACGUAUUUAUUUUGCCACUAACAUUCAUAUAUCUUUACCAUAACAUUUAAUACAAGUUUGCUUAAGCAAAAAUCUCCAAAUUUAUUCAUAGCUACAUGUAUCUCAAAUUGCUCAUCACUUAUCAUCAGUCAAUAAAUCCCACUCGAAAAUACCCUUUCCAUAUUGUAUAGUGAUUUCACCAUAUAGCAUCACUGCACGAUGUUCCUCCAUUCUACUAUCACGCAUACUCCAUAGAAAUUAAUUAAAAAAUUUACGUACCCUAACUAAUGCUAAUUCCAUUUAAUCAUAUCUUAAAUACUUCAAACUUGUAAAUUACAACUCCAAAUGUAUGUCCAUAUAUUGAUAAUCUUUAUAUAUUUCAUGAUCAUGAAAACUACAACUUACAAACUAGCUUUCUAUCAUAUGUACUUUAUUAGAGCACUAAUUUCAACAUAUUUAAUCUAUCCUUGGUGGUAUGUCAAAAUCAUCCCUAUCUUGAUUGCAAUCUAGAGGAAUCUCUCUUCUGCAUAUCCGUAUGAGCUGGUGGAGAUGGAGCAGCUACCGUAGCCCAUCCUAACUGUGGGCAAUCUCUCCUAAUGUGACCCGGUUGAUCACAACGAAAACAUCGUGCAAGCCCUCUGCACAGCCCAACAUGAUAAUUCCAACAAUUUCUGUAUCUACGUGAACUUCCUGAAACAUAGGAGUCUUUGCCCCUUUUUGGUGGCUGACUAGAAGAUACACUUAGAUUUCUCCUUUUUGCUAACUCAGCUCGCAGACUCUUAUUUUCAUUCGCAAGCUUCUCAGCUCUUAAAGCCAUUUGCACCACCUCUUUAGCCACGGUUGCGUUCGACUCACCCAUAAAAGAAACACAACUAUGUUGCCUAGCCUCCUUAAGCUUCUUAGAAUAAAAAACAUCCAGCACUAGUGGUGGGACAAGAGGUGAGGGUGAUGGUACUGAAGGAGCAGCUGGAGGAACUAUAGGAAGAGCUUGACCAGCCUAAGCCUGGCCAGCAAUAGCUGUAAAGAAGGCUGCCAAUGCCUGAAUUGCCUCAAGAGGCAUGGCAGGAAUACUAGUAAGUGGCGGAGGAGGUGGAGGAUGUGGAGGAGUCUCGGUCUGUUCAGCCGUAGGUGCUGCCCGAAUGGUGGAUGCACUCGAUUCCUCCUCUAUUGCACCUAACUGACGACGUUGGUAACGACCUCUUUCCCUCCCAACUGAUCUAGUGAGAGGUGGUGUUUCGUGUCGAGGAGACAUAAUAAUCUAUAAGAGGGAACAAAGUGAGUUUAGGUAACCUUAGGCUCUAUAUGCUUAUGCACGUAUUUUAUUCAACCUAACCUAACUUAACUCGGGACCACACUGACAUUGUAAAUUUUUAAAACAACUUUAAAAUAACUUUAAACCCAAAAACUCUAAUCUUUAAAACCAAAAGCUCUGAUACCAACUUAAUUGUCAUGACCCCGAACUCCCAUUGAGCCCGUGACAACCGUCGCGACGUCUCGAUCGACAUUUAUUACUCGAAAUGUCAACCGGAACCCCGCAAGGCUUUAAUAUCAGCUUCUCAUUUCCCCUGUGGGUAACUGUUGCCAAAUACCACAUUCUAAAAGAUUUUAAACUAUUUCCAACUUAAAAAAAUAAAAUAAUAAUUUUCGUCUCACAAGGGUAUUUUUGUCAUUUAUCCCAAAAAUCUCAAAAUCAGUUAAAAAUAUAGUAUGUAAGUGGAAAACACAUAUUUCAUAAUCAAAAAUAAUUUUAGAUGUCUAAAACAUUCGUUUAAAAUGAAAUUAUGAUUGUUAGAAUAAAAUAAAAGUAUUAAAUAAAAUAUUCAAUUUUCAAAUAAAAUAAUAUUUUUAAGAACACUGCAUAAACAAUUUUUAUAGUGUAAAAGUAAAAUAAAUUCCUACAUACCGUAAUGCAGAUAACCAAAGUAUAGAAUUAAUUUACAAUGACAUGUGGGCCCACGAAUGACCAAAAGUAUAAAAAGAAAUGAACCUACAGUUUUUGGAUGUGGCAAGUUCAACUGUAAUCCUCGCCGAUAUCAGUUAUCUACAAUCUAUUCUGAGCCUGAAAUGGGUGGAAAAGAGGAUGGUGAGAUUAUAAAAUCCCAGUGAGUAAACAAACAUCACUCAAAAUAUCUAAAGUCGAGUAAAAUGAGACUAUUAAAACAUUUCAUCAAACUGUAAUUUAUCAUCUUUCAACUUAUUUUAACCAAAUGAAAUCAAUUUAUUUAAAGCAAGUAAUUAGUAUGGCUUAUGAAUUUCUUAAAAAGCUUGGCUCAUGCCAAAAAUUAUUAUCAUACUCAGUUAUUUGGGAUACCUUGGCCGAAGGCUAUCCCAACUGAGUCCGCCAAGGCUAUUAGAAAGUCAUGUUUUUAUUUUGAAAACAUAGCCGUUCCUUGGCGUUGGCCGAGUUCCCUUUCAUGUGGUGGUUUGGCGUGAAGUGAACUCUAAAAGUUAUACCUCGGGAGUUACCUUACUCGCCUCUCCAACCGAGGUAAAAAUAUAAUAGGAUUCUGUGCCCUUCUAAUAGGCUAGUCCACAGAACCCAGCCCACUACAGCAGGUCAAACCCACCAUACAAUAAAAUUUUGAUAGCAUGAUAGGGCUAAUAUAUUACUACCCAGCCUGCAAGGGUAAAAUAAAGCAAUUCAUACAAUUCAUAAAAAAUACAGCCCAGCCAGUCAUGCCAAUACAAUAACAUAAGCCAUUAAUUCAAUUUUAAAUUUACAACAUAUCAGUGGUCUCCAAUUACUCUAUUUUCAAAAUCAUUAUUUCGUUUCAAGACAACUUCUAAAAUAGUUUCAUUUAAACUCAUUUUGUUUACAAAACAUAAAAAUUUACCAUUUUAACUCAUUUUCAUAAAAUUCACCAAAACCGAAAAAAGAGAUACUUUAGAUAAUUAAAGUGAUGGUAAGGUUACUCAUAGUGUCUAGAGUAGGCAUUUUCGAAAUACUCAGACUACUGGUCCUCGGGUGCAAUUCCCUUGCCUUUAUCGGAGGACUAACCACCUUGACAAAGUACAAAAUUGAGAAAUUCACCACAUUGGUACUAAAUUGAAAUUAAACUAAUUUAGACUACUAAUGCUUGAUAUGGAAUGCAAAAAUGUCUAAAUUUUGCCUAAACGCGGUGUUAACCUAUUUCGGUCUUUUAACUGAUAAAUCGAUAUACGUGUCUGUCUAAACUCCAAAUUAAUUUUUUUUUUCAGUUUUUAUACCUCAAUUGCACCCAAAUUGACUUAAUAUCCCUCAGUGUGGUGCAAAUUAUCAGUCCCGAUAACAAAUUAUGAAAAUACCCCUAGUGGGUAAAAAGUCAUAUUUUUGUUUCGAAAAUUUUUAUUAUUUUUCUAGGCUCAUAAUUCAUCAUUAUUCAUCAUAAUUCCUCAAAUAAACAUCAAGAUCAGCAGCCAAUAUUCCCCUAGAAAAUUCGGCAUAAUGGGUUUCAAUGGGAGAAAAUUAUAUCUCUAGCUUAUUUUUGCUAUAUUUCAAUAUAACCUAACUAAAAUCACUUAAUUCAAUUAAAAUCAACCAAAAAUCAAGCUCAAAACUCAUCCAUGGAGGUUUGGCCAGCAUGGGUGUCCAUACCCACUUUCUAAUUUUGCAUGGAAAUGGGAAAAAAAUGCAUGGGUAGUGAAAAUCACAAGGAAAAUCAAUGAAAUUUACCUUUUUAAUGCUUGAUUUCUUGAUUUCUCUUGAUUUUCCCCAAAUUUUUCAGGUAGGGUUCUUAUUUCUUUUCCUUCUUUUCUCUACUGGUUUGGACGGCUGAAGAAGAUGAGAAUUCUGGAAUUUUGACCUUUUUAAAGGCUAAAAUAAUAUAAUAUUAUUUUAUUCAUUUUUUAAUGUUUUAUUAAUUCCUUAAAUUCUAGCCAUCCAUUUGUUUCCAAAUUUUCACCAUACACUUGUCCCACAUAUCCAUAGCUUACAUAAAAUUCUCAGACUUAUCCAAAGUCUUGGGGGAGUAAUUUUUUAAAAUUUACACUUUUGCCCUUGUAAAAGUCAAAAAUUACAUUUAUGCCCCAAAAAUUGAAAAAUUACCCAUAGACAUAUUUUUCAUCCCUUAUACUCAUACCAUUCUCCAAUUUGUCAAAUUUGAUCUAAAUUCUCUCAAAAUCUCAAAUUUUGUUUACGGGUGGUAAAAUUACGAUUUUACCCUUACACUCUAGAAAUCAUCGAAAUUAAACUUUUUCACUACCAAACCCUCAAAUUAUACUCCAAUAAGUCAAAUGGGGCCAAAAAAAUCUUUUCUAAAAAUUACCAUUGUGUCCCUAGGUGGCAAAUGACCAUUUUACCCCUGGACAGUGAAAAUUUCGAUUUGACUCCAAAUUGAUCCUCGAACUCCAAAUCGCUAUAUUAAACCAUUCUGGGACUUUAAUAUUCUUAAUUUCAUUUUAAAUUCUUUAUUUGAUCUAGUUCGAGGCUUAAAUUAACUUAAUUGUAUCAUUUGAUACAUUGUUGUCUUUUAACGAUUUUUCUUUUGGGGCUUUCCAAGUAUGCAAGCAUAUUGUCAAUCAUAUGAAUGACAUGACAAGUAUUUUAUAAGGUCAGGCUUGACAACCUUUCAAGACAAACUAGGUGAAGUAGUAAACAAAAAGUUGUAGAUUUUUCUCUUAUCUUUCCAAUGGUUUAAGAAUUACUUCAUUUGGAGUUCUGUAGAGAAAGUUAUGACCAAAAUACAGAAACAUGUGUAGUGUAAGCUUGCACCUCGAAAUUACUCUCCUUCUUCCACUUAAAUUCUUCUUUCAUCAAAUAUCUACAAAAGUGCAAAUAAAUCAAUAACAACCUAUCUUAACCACAGUAACACCAAAUUAAGCAUAAAAUUAACCAUGAUUAGAUUGACUCACCUAAACUAACUAAUUUAAAAUAAUUAAAUAAAACUUACUAAUUUCUAUGCAUUACUAUAAGAACUAAGCUAAAUUUUAUCAAACUAAGCUCAAAUAACUCUAUAUCAUAGAGUUAUCACACCCCCAAACUUAAGAUUUUUCUAGUCCCCGAGUAAAACAUAGAAAAGAACCUAACUUAUGAAAAUCAAAUUCAGUUAAUGAAAAAUAAAAUAAAUAUAGUCACUGCUAUUACUACUACUAUUACUAGUACAACUACCACUACUACUAGAGAUAAAGUGCACCAACUCAAUGAUUCCUUAUAAUUUCCUCAAACGUAUGUCUAUCAAUCAUUAAACUAAGGAAAAAAAUAGGCAUCAUUUAAAUUCAUGUUUCAAUUCUAAUGUAAGCACAUUCUCGAAUGGAUUUCCAUGUGUGUGUGUGAAAUCUUUUACCAAGAAUAUCAUGACAUCCGGAUGAAUUUAUGUCACGACCCAAAUUUCGGGCCAUGACCAUCGCAAGGGCCCAAUGGACGUAGUCUACUAAGCCCAAACAAGCCUAUCUAUUCAUCCUACUCAUCAUUCUGUCAAGUAUUGCUAAGUCACAUUUUAUAACUUUCAAUCAAAAUAGUGAUAGACAUUGCCAACUCAUAUUGGCAUUACUCAUUUAAAAUAUACAUACGUUGUCUACAACAUGUAUUCUAAUAAUUUACAUUAAGUUGUCUAUACAUAUCAAAAGGAGACUCGAUUUUCAGCGGAGAGACUCGGACGAAUGUACAGCUACUGAAUGCCGAGACACCUACCAAAAGAUGGAUACAAGUCUACGAGGACACCUCGUCCUAGUUACCAGCUGCCUCAUGAUAUGAAAACAUGAAGUUGAAAAUGGUGAGUAUAAACCCAGUGAGUGAACAAGGAAGGGAACAAGAAACAACAAGGGAGAAUUUAAAAUCAUGAUGCACUUGUUUCAAACAAUGCAAUUUAAUUCCAUUCAUAUUAAAAACCCCAUCAUCAAGCCCUUAAAUGAUUAAUCAUUUGAAAAUCAUGAACCCAUACAUAACGAACCAUUUGAAGAAUGAAAGCUUCAAUGAUACGCAAGCAAGUCAAAUACGACAAAGAAUCUUCGCUGCAGCGAGAAUGAAUUUUCGUUGCAGCGACGUUGGGAUUAAGUUAUUAGCCAAACGAAGGUUUCUGAACUAGCCGAGGGUUUCUCACUAAACCUCCUCAUUUUAAACUUAACUCAUUUAGUCCUUAAUGUUGGAAGUCCAUGCUCAUAUAUGGUAGCAAAGAAGUGAAAAAUAGGACAACAAUUAGACAAGAUAGGAGACAAAACAGAAAGUUUUUCGCUGUAGGGAGAUUGAAUCUCGCUGUAGCGAAAUUGUGACCCAGAAACAGAAAGUUUCUCGCUGCAGCGAGAAUGAAUUUCACUGCAACGAGAAUGAAUUUCGCUGCAGCGAGAAGCUACAGUGUCAUUCUCACUGCAUUAAAAAUGCAUUAUCGCUGCAGCGAGUUUUCAACCAGUCUACCCCUCCAAACCCGAGAGUUUCUUGCUGCAGUGAAAAUGAUUCUCGUUGCAGCGAGAAACAGGGUACAAAUGAAAAUUUUUCCUUUUUUCCCAAAGAAAAACCACCCUACUGAAAUGUCCAAACCAACAUGAAACAUAUGACAAUUUUCCAAAGUUUAACAUGUCAAGUUUCACAUGCAUUACAACCAUAUACCAUUACUCACUAAUUUCCUAUAACACACAUAUUUACAUAUGUAUAUAUGUUUACGUAUACCCAUCAUCAUCAUGCACACCGUCCCAUCAUCAUCAUCACUAGCUCAUGCGCACUCCCUACUCGCACAUGGCUGGGUCAUCACCGGGUUAUGUGCAUUCCCUACUCGCACAUAAUCGGGUCAUCCUCAGUUUAUGCGCACUCCUUACUUGCACAUGGUCGAUUCAAUAUAAUUACACAACACUAUAUUCAAACAUAUAUGUAUAUCAACAUAAUGCAGCAGCAUAGAGAUCCAUGAUAACCACAUGUCAUAACAUAAAAUUGUUUUAUCAAAGGCUUGUUCCCAAGGCACUUGUUUUAACAAAAGUUGUAUAGAAUCAUUCAAAUACUUUGUACAAAACGGUCAUAUUCCCAAAAUAAUUUUGAUAGGCAGUCCACUCACCGGUUGAUUGUAGAGCCUUUAGCUGACUUUAAUUCCCUUAAUGAUCCAAUUGGGGUGAUGGGGCUUCGUUAGAACCUAGAAUCACAUUAGCAUAAGCAAUAGGUCAAUUCACACAAUAUAAACCCUAAAAGUUAUCUCUUAGCUAACUUUAAAUUGCCACAUUAAAUGGCUAUCUAUGUUCACUAUCUUAAUCACUAUAAAAGGAAUGAACAUACUCAACAAUAAAAUAGCUCAUAAUCCCAAUUACUAGCCAUUAUUCAUAGCUAAAAAUCAAGCUUGGUUCAUCAUUCACCCUAGGGUUUCUUUGUAGUUGAAUUCUCUUCCAAUAGCUUCCAAACAAAUGGGGUAAUUCUUUUUUUCUCUCUCUAGAAUGCCUAACUAGUGAGAGAAAGUAUGGAAAUAAGAUUUAUCAAGGGUUUUGAAGUGAGAGAGUGAAAGAAUACAAGGGUUUUAGUCAAAAGGAUGCAAAAAUAUGAAAACUAGAGCUAGAGAGAGAAAAUUAUGCAAGCUCCAUAUCAAGCUUCCAUGGAGGCUGGAAGCAACGUGAGAUGGAAGAAGAAGAAGUAGACAAGCUACUGAAAAUUCAAGAAGCUGUUGGAAGGAGAAGAUAUUUAUAGCCCAAGCUUAUCCAUUCCCUUGAAAUUACCAAAUUGCUCAUCCACAAAUUAGCUUAUUCUCCUUCAAUCUUUUAUGCAAUCUUUUUGCUCUUUUGACACUAAGAUAAGGUCCAUAAUGGUCUAGACAUGCUUGGGUUCAUGAAAACUUAAAAUUCUAACCCGAGGUGAAAAAUGACCAUUUUGCCCCUAUUAUGAAAAUCAUCAAAAUUUUGGUUUCCUUUCCAUUUUGCCCCUAUUUUCAUCAUUCAUUUAUGCCUUAGGCCUACUUAGGCCAUAAUAUUGUUUAAAAUCUUACUUUUAUGGGUUUGGUAAGGAAAUGACGAAAUUACCUCUAAUCAGGGAUAUCACGUAUACUUCCUUUUACGAGUCUAUAAAGGUCAAGGUCUCACAGUUUAUGCCAACAAAAAUUUUAAAUUAGUACUAGAUUUUAGGUUUACAUCUCAUCUCUCUCUCCACUAAUGUAGACUAAUGCAAAGCUAUGAAUCAAUAGGACUUUAUAAAGCUUGUAAUGUAUGGCUAGGGUUAAGGUAUGAUAAAGGAUAUUAAUGUAGCUCAAAUCACCCUAAGCACAUAAUUAUUCUAGGACCUAUAUAUAGAGCUCUAUUUUCCUUCUCCUAGUACACAUUUUCUUCCACAUUUGAACUUUUCUUUUUUCUCUUUUUUUUUCAAUACAAUUUUUUUUUCACAAUUUCACAGUUUCACACCCCCAAACUUAUUUUUUUUGUAUUGUAGGUAGCAGAGUUAUUUUUCAUAUUUUGAACUUUUUUUUUCACAUCAACGUCACAUUUUCACCUUUUUCAACAUUUAGCUCAAUUUAUAUUUUCUAAAACAAUAUACAUGCUUAGGAAUGAGGGUUGCAAAAUUGAAAAUUUAAUUUUAAGGCUAAGCUCAAUUAUUAUGUAGUUAAAAAAAGAAAAUGGAAAUUAAGCUCAAAAGUGGUAUACUAGGGAUAAAAAUUUAACAAGGUUGGCUUUUUAAGCUCAAACGGUCCAAAGAUGGCCUAAAUCAUCUCUCUAACUAAGUAUUGCCUAGGAUUUCAUCUCAAGGGAAAAUCAAGCAAAUUCUAGAAUUCAUGACAUAAUCUAAAAUUUACAUCAAUAUAAACCUCCUCUAGAUAUUCAAAAUAAUUCAAAGUAAAAGACAUAGUGCUCAAAAUUGUGAAAAUCACAUUCUAACAAUGAUACUUAACAAAAAAAAUUAGCAUGAAUCCAAACAAAAACAUUAUUCACCAAAGGCUAAAAAUUCAAGACAACUAGUUAUCAUCAUUAGAUUUUUAAAAAAAUCAUUGAAAAAUUUGACAGAACUUUACUCUAGAUUCUCAAAAUUCAAACAAGAAAUAAAUUCAUUUAUUGACCAAUCCUAAAUUAUUUAUAAAUACGCAUGCAAAUAAAAUUAGAUCUAAAACUUCUACAGAAUAUUCAUUGUCAAAAAACUAACUUCACCCCCCCAUACUUAAACUAAACAUUGUCCUUAAUGUUAGAAAAAAGAAAAGAAAGGAAAAGAAUACUCCCCUGAUGAUUGGAUGAAUUUUUUAGAAGCUCUAAUUCUCCUCCUUAUUGUUAUCAUCUUCAUUGUCACUUGCAGGAAAAAACUUUUUUUUACUAAAUAAAUAAAUAAAUAAUGUAGAGAAAUAAAAUAAAUAAUAAAUAAAAAUAAUUGAAAGGAAAAUAAAUAAAGAAAAAAAUUUUUUUUUUGUUGGGUAAUGGGUAGUCCAAAUAAGAAAAUGGAAUUGGGUUUGGUUAGUGGGUUGCCAACAUUGGGCAGUCCAAUGAAGGGUGGUGGGUAUUGGUAGCCCACUUCAAGGGGAGGUCGUGGCCUACCCCAUGUGAGAGCCGCAGCCCACGUUCAACUGGCUUUUUUUUUUUAAAGAGCUGCAGCUUUGAGCCUAGUGAGCCGUGACUCACGUUGUUUGAAGUUUAAGAAGCAACGACUUACCACUUUUUUUUUUAAUUUUUUUAAAUUUUUUUUUGAAAUUUUUUUCCAUUAACCUGCAUAAAUAAAAGAGUGUUAAUAAUUUAAUAGUUAAAUAAAUAAAAAUAAAAAUAAAAUAAAAGAAAGUAAGCUAUAAUGCUUGGAUUGUCUCUCAAUAAGUGCUUCUUUAUAGUCACUAGCUUGACUAUGGUACCCUCUUCUCCACUACUUUAUAUGGCACGAGACUUUCUUUAUUAACCUUGACUACUCCGGUAAGUCCACUAUAAAUCUCGAUAAUAUCAUAAAGAUGAAUUGUUACCGCCUUAAACUUGUUCCCCCAAUAUGGUCUAAGAUUCCAUGGCAAAAGAUGGAAUUGUGAAUCAGAAAGUACUACUCACUGUCAGACCACAAAAUCAAGAUAGCUGGAAAGUGGUGGUGGUUUUGUCUCAAGAGUUGGCACCUAUGUUGUUGAAGGUGGUGAAAUAGGCUUACCUUUACCCCCAUUGACUGAAUCCACUUUAUAGCAACUAUCUGUAUAAGGAUACUGAGUUGCAUUGAACAAAUUAGAUACCAUUUCUUCCUUUCCAACUUUGAAAGUUAUUUUGCCAUUCUUCAUAUCAAUAAUUGCUCCAGUUGUAGCUAAGAAUGUUUAUCCCAAAAUAAGAGGAAUUUCAAGAUCAUUUUCAAUCUCGAGCACAAUAAAGUCCACCAGGAUGUAUAAAUGCCUAGCUUUAAGCAAAACAUCCUCUAUAAUCCCAACUAGCACUUGAUUGUUCUAGCUACUAAUUGUAAGGUAACUAUAGUAGGUUGUAUCUUUUGAAAUCCAAGUUUUCUAGCAAUAAACAAAGGCAUUCUUGAAACAAUAGCACCUAAAUCACAUAAAGCUUUAGAAAUUUUAAAACUACCAAUAGUGCAAGGAAUAGAAAAACUCCUUGGAUCUUUAAGCUUUGGUGGAAGCUUAUUCUGGAUUAUAGCACUGCACUCUUUAGUAAGUGCAAUUGUCUCAAACUCUUCAAAUUUCCUUUGUUUGGUCAGGAUGUCUUUCAAGAAUUUAAGAUAACUUGGCAUUUGUUCUAAAGCUUUAGCAAAAGGAAUAUUAAUGUGCAGUUUUUUAAAUACCUUAAGAAAUCUCUAGAAUUGUUUGUCAAGUUUUUACUUUUGAAAGCGUUGAGGAAAAUGUGCUGGAAGUGUGGGAACAGAUUUUGAUUUUCCUUUUGAAUUUUCGAUAAACUUUUUAACCACAAUAUCUUUUUCAGCAUUUUUUUCAAUUUCUUUCCCAUCAGAUUGAAUUGAAAUCUCAAGAUUUAAUGCUUGAUUACUUACCUCUUUACGUACCUCUUUUUCCAUUAUGGAGAAUGAUUGCCAUACAAUGUUCCUUACCUUCUCUUCUUGGGUUGGGUUCAGUAUCACUUGGUAAGGUACUAUGAGGUCUAGUAUUUAAAGCACUAGUAAGUUAGCCUACUUGUAUCUCAAGAUUUCUAAUUGAAGUUGCUUGAUUUUGAAUGGAGGCAUCUGCCCUUAUCAUAAAUGCAUCAGUCUUUGUUAUGAAUGCAUCAGUCUUUGUCAUGAAUUUCAUGAACAUAUCCUCCAUUGAAGGCUUUUUCUCUAGCAUAGAGGCUUUAGAUGGAAAUCUGGGGGGAAAGUUUAACUUAGCCGUUGAUGAAGACCCUUGGUUGUUAUUCCAUGAGAAAUUAGGAUGAUUCCUCCAAGCAGGGUUAUAAGUGUUGGAAUAGGGAUUGUUCUGUUGUCUAUUUCCAACAAAUUGAUAAGACUCAGAGUAAAUGGGACAAUUGUCAUUGGAAUGUCCUUCCCUAUAAAAUUCACAUGUCAUAAAGGAGUUUUAAACAAUAUUAACACUCAAUUUAUCUAUUUUCUUUGCGAGAGAGGCCAAUUGUGUAGAGACAGUGUUUAUCACAUCUAAUUCAUGAAUUACAGUAAUUUUUCUUAUAUCCAAUCUUUCAGAUGGCCAUUGAUAAUUAUUAGAAGCUAUCUCUUCGAGCAAAUCAUAAGCCUCAUUAAUGGAUUUACUCAUGAGUGCACCUCCAGCAACAGCAUCAAUGGUAGUUCUAAAAGGUCCCAGCAAACCAUUAUAAAAAGUCUGAACUUGCAGCCACUUAGGUAAUCAAUAGUAAGGACAUCUUUUUAUUAAAUCCUUAUACCUUUCCCAAGCUUCAUAUAGUGAUUCAGAAUCAAAUUGCAUGAAAGAAAUGAUAUCAUUCCGCAUCUUUGCUGACUUUGCAGGUAGGAAGAAUUUUGCUAAGAAUAUUUUAGCCAAAUCAUCCUAAGUAUUAAUGGAACUAGCAAAAAGAGAAUUUAACCAACUCUUUGCUUUAUCUCUCAAUUAAAAAAGGAAAAGCCUCAAUCUUAUGGCAUCAUCAGUAACACCAUUAGCCUUAAAUGUAUUACAAAUUUCUAAAAAAUUUAUAAUAUGAGCAUUCAGAUCAUCAUUAGGCAAACCCCUAAAUUGAACAGUAGUCUGAAUCAUCUAAAUGAUUGAUGGCUUAAUUUCAAAAUUGUUGGCUUGAAUAGCAGGUCUUCAGAUACUAGAGUGGAGAUUUUAUACUUGUGGGACUGCAUAAUCCUUCAAAGGCUUGGUCUCUUCCUUUUAUUGAUCAGCCAUGGUUUUACUUGGAGCAGAAACUUUUUUAUUUUUCUUCUGAAGUUUUCAAAAAAUCUUUUCAAUUUCUGGAUCAAAAGGAACAAUUUCCAAGUUUUGGAUUCUUUGCAUACAAUGACCAAAAGUACCUAAAAAAUUAAAGAAAAGAAAUGUCUAGAUUAAACUUAAGAAUGCUCGGUAUUGAUAUUAACAAGAAAGAAUUAUAAAUCAAUUCCUCGGCAAUGGCGCCAAAAACUUGUUGUUCACUUUUCUACUCACGCAAGUAUAUGUAUCACAAAGAUAAUAUAGAGAUGAUUAAAGUGUCGAUCCCACAGAAAAUUGAAUUAAUCUUUACUGUUAACUACUAAAAUGAACACACCUUAAUUUUAUCUAAACAAUUAAAAUUAAAAAGAAAGAUUUGAAACUAAUAAACUAAUAACUAAAACUAAAACUAAUCUAAAAUCUAUUAAAAAAUUUACUUUAUUAAAUUUGAGUGACCACCAGUGUCAAGCUUAGCUCUAUUAUAUACUUGCCAUGUCAUUCAUGUAUUUGAUAGCAUGUCUGCAUACUUGGAUGCCUCGUAGAAUCGUUAAAAGUCGGUAUCAUACCUAAUGGUAUAAUUAAGUCGAUUAAAACCUCGAACUAGCUUGAAUAGAGAUUUUAGGAUGUAUUUGAGAGUUAUUGAACCUUAUAAUGUUUUAAUAUGAUGAUUCAGAGUUCGAGGAUUAACUUGGAGUCAAAUUAAGAAUUUUCAUAAUGUAGGGGUAAAAUGGUCAUUUUGCCACCCAAGGGCAAAAUUGGAAUGUUGGAUGAAAUUUUUGACCAAGUUUGACUAGUUGGAAUAUAAAUUGAAUUUUAGAAGUGAAAAAUUUCAAUUUCGAGCAUAAGGGCAAAACAAUCAUUUUAUGUAUCCACGAGGACGUAAUUGAAAUUUUUAAAAUUUUACACCAUCAUAACACUUGUCAAGCCCAUGAAUUUCACUUAUUAUCAUUUUAUACUUUGGAUAAUUAAGAAAUUACAUGUGGUGGUGAGCAAAUGCUUAAUUGUUAAGUUAUUAACCAUGGACCAAUUAUAUGGUGACACGUGGCAAAUUUUAAUCCUUUUAUAAUUCCCUUUAAAAACUAACACACACUUCUCCAAAAUCACUCUCUCUUGGCCGGCCAAAGCAAAGAACAAAGAGAAAAGAAUAAGAACAAACCCUAGAGAAGAAAAUCCAAGAGAAAUUUGUUGAAUUUCAAGGAACAAAACAAUUAAAGGUAAGAUUUUUCAAUUUUAGCUUAAGAUCUACCUUUCCCAUGCUCUCUUUUUCCAUUGUCCAUAGUUGAAACUCAAGAUUUCAUGAAGGAAAGUUUGUUGGCCGAACCUAGGGGGAGAGGUUUUGAUCAUGGGUUUCGUUAAAUUUCAUGCUACAUACGCGUUUUUAGUUGUUUUGUGAUACUCCUUGGCCGAAUUUACUAAAGGACAUAUUGAUGAUGAAUCUUGUUAUAUCUCAUGUUAUUUAGCUCAUAUUUGAUGAAUUGUGGUGCCAGAUAUUGAAAACGGUUAUGGAAACGUAUGGUUCCUUUAGGAAACGAUUUGAACAACAAUGAGAAAAUCAAGUUCAUUGAGGUACUUUGGGUGUAAUUGGAGUAUUGGAAGUGUAAUGAAUAUAUUUGGAGUUGAAUCGGAUGUUUUGGUUGAUUUAACAGUGUAUAGUUUGAGUUAGAUUGAAUACAAAAUCAGUCCAAUCAUAAUUGAACCCACGUAGAACACCGUCUUUAAGUGAUUAUUCAGACAAUUCUCAUUCAAUUUCAUGCAUUCAUAUAGAGCAUGAAAUAGUUUUAUAAUAGUUUGGCACAAAUAUAUUGAAUUACGUGUCGUGUAUUACGUAUAGGUGGUGACCCCUCUAAUAAGGGUAAAGAUAUUGUACCCGAGGAUCAAGAAUAGGAGUACUCCAAACUCCCACUAUUAUGAGUAACAGACUUUCAUCUUAACUAUCUAAAGUUGUUUCUACUCGUUUUUAUGUUUUAAAGAAUAAUGAGUUUAAAUGGUAAAUUAUUAUGUUUUAAAGUUGAAUUGUUGGUUAAAUGAAAUGAUUUUUAUAACUUGUUUUGAAAUUGAAUACAGGUUUUGAAAAUUGAGUAAGUGGAGACUAUAUACUCGUGUUUGAUAUAUGGUUUGAAUUGAUGGCUUAUGACAAUGUGAUCGCAUGAAUGGCUGGAUUUGUGUUUUGUGUGGAAUAUAUAAACUGUUUUGUUUUGCCGUGACACAGGCUAGGUAAUAUUAUAUUAGCCAUGUUAUGCUGUCAAAAUGUUUAUUAAUUUGGUGGGUUAUUUGAUUAGUUUACUGUAGUGGGCGAGUUUUUGUGGACCAGCCUAUUAGAGGGGUAUGGUAAACCCCAUUAUAUUUUACCUUAGUAUGAGAGGCGCAGAGGGUAUCUCCUAAGGUAUAUUUAGAGUUCACUUCACGUCGAACCACCAUGUGAGGAUGAAACUCAGCCAACGCCAAGGAACGGCUACGUUUUUAAGCGUAAAAACAUGUUUUAUGUGUAUAUAUCAUUUUAACAGCCUUGGCGGACUCGGUUUGAUGCCCAGGCUAAGGUGUCACCGAGUACGAGUUUUGGUACGAGCCAAGUUUUAAGAGAGUCAUAAGCCUUACUGAUUUUUUUGAUGAAAUGUAAUUGUUUUAUAUGAAUUGAAAUGAGUUUUGAAUGUUAUGAAUUUUAUUAUGAUGGGAUGAUUUAACUGUCUCCAUUUACUCGGUUUUAGAUGUUAUAGAUGAAUUUUACUUACUCAUUGGGUUUAUAAAAACUCACCCCUUCUUUUCACCCAUUUCAGGCUCAAGAUAGUCUGUACACAACCGAUUUUGUUGAGGAUUGCUUUUGGAUCUGCAUCCUUAGAAAUCAAAAGUCUACAGUCUUGCAUAUUUUCGAUUAAAUCGGGGCCCACAUGUCAUUGUAGAAUAUUUUGUAUACUUGGCUGCGUGUGCCACUGUAUGUAUGAAUUUAUUUUGAUUUUAUGCUACAAAAAUUUUUCACGCAGAGUUCUAUAAAUAUUGUUUUAUAAGAAAAUGAAAUAUUUUAUUUAAUAUUUUUAUUUAGUUUGAUUAGCCAUAAUUUCAUUUUAAAUGGAUUAUUUAGAUUACUAAAAUUAUUUUUAGAUAAGAAAUGUAUAUUUUUCGAUUGUAUGCUGCAUUUUUACCAGGUUUCAAAAGUUUGGGUAAAAAUGACCAAAAUACCCCUAUGUGGCAGAAAUUAUUUUUUUGUUUGUUUUGAUUUAAAAAUAGUUUAUAUUCUCUUAAAACAUGAUAUUUAGUAACUAUUGCUCACAGAGGAGAUGUAAAAUUGAUGUGAAAGCCUUGCAAGGUUUCGAUUGACAUUUCGGGUAAUGAAUGUCUAUCGAGAUAUCAUGGCGGAUGUCACGGGCUCGAAGGGAGUACCGGGUCGUGACAACCAGACCUAAGUUUAUGAUAUCCCUCAAAACUUUAUCUGAAUAUUGUCUUACCCUCUUAACUCAGCUUAAUGGAUUAAGUUGCUAACCUAGAGUCCUAAAUUAUUUACAAGUCUCUGUCGAGUUUUUUAUAAAAAUAUCUCUCCCAAUUAAUUUAUUAUAUGUCUAUGCAAAUUAUAUUGAAGAAAAAUUCAUUAAGUUUGAGCUCUAAUCUUUGUUACAUAUGGCUUAUAAGUGUAUGUCUACCCUAUAUGCAAAUCAAACCACCUAAUCAACUAAGUGUAUUCGAUCAUACACUAUACUAUUCAAGGUCUACCUAAAUCUCCUUCGUCAAGGUUUAACUUAGGCUUCCAAUUCAAUCUCAUUGGUGAUCAGGCAAUUAGAAGCAUUAAGAACAGAAUAAAAUAAACGACUUAAAUCUAUCAGACAUAAGUAAAAGAAAGAUAAAUAAUUCAGACUAUAUAUUGAGUUCAAUCAUAAUCUUAGAUUAAAACUUUAGUUCCCCAUCAAGUCACACAUUAUCAUCACAUAAAAUCUAAAUAUUAAAAGCACAACCAAGAAAAUAAGAGAAUAAAAGAAAAUAUAGAAAAACUCAAGAAUUCUGUUCUUGAUCUCCAAAUCUCCUUGAAUUUUGUAAAUUUUUCUUAGCUUCAAUGACUCUAUGGCUUGACUCUCAAAUGUUAAUCUUGUGUUUUCUUCCUUUCUUCUUUAAGUCAUCCGAAAGGUUGUUUUUAUAAGCUUUACAGUUAGGCCAAGUUGGAUGAAAAAAGAAGUCAAUUUUAAUUAGGAUUUCCUCAUCAGACUAUGUAAGUCACAGCCUUGCCCAAUUAAUUAAUAGAAAUCGUAAUUGCUAUAGGAUUGCUAUAGUAUGUCAAUUUCAAUAAGAUUUUUGACUACCUUAAAAGCCCAACUAGGUGAAGUAGUGAACAAAACAAUUGUAGAGUUUUUUCUUGUCUUUCCAAUGGUUUAAGAAUCACUUCAUUUGAAGUUCUGUAGAGAAAGUUAUGGCCAAAAUACCUAAACAUGUGCAGUGCAAGCUUGCACCUUAAAAUUUUGCUCUCCUUCUUCCACUAAAAUUCUUCUUUCAUCAAAUACCUACAAAAGCACAAAUAAAUCAAUAACAACCUAUCUUAACCACAUUAACACCAAAUUAAGCAUAAAAUUAAUGAUUAUUAGAUUGACUCACCUAAACUAACUAAUUUAAAAUAAUUAAAUAAAACCUACUAAUUUCUAUACAUUAUGUAAAGCCUGACCUUAUAAAAUAUUUGUCAUGACAUACAUGUGAUGGAUAACAUGUUUGCAUGCUAGGAGAGUCUCGAAAAAUUUACAAAAGUCGAUAUUGUACCUAGAGGUACAACAAAGUUGAUUUAAGCCUCGAACUAGAUUGAACAGAGAUUUUAGGGUGAAACUGAAAAUUUUAAAGUCCAUGAAUGAUUUAAUAUGGUGAUUCGGAGUUCGAGGAUCAAUUUGGAGUCAAACUGGAAUUUUCAUAACCUAGGGGCAAAAUGGUCAUUUUACCACCCAAGGUUAAUAUGUGAGUGUUGGAUGAAAUUUUUGACUAAGAUUGAUCAAGAUUUACUAUUUAGAACAAAAUUUGAGAUUGAGAAGUGAAAAAUUGUAAUCUUAGUAUUUUUCGGAGCAUAGGGGUAAAAUGGUAAUUUUGCCACCCUAGAGGCAAAACAGUAAUUUUCCACCACCAGGACAUUUGUCCAGUACAUGGUCUUCCCUUAUCCUCAUUUUGACCUUUGACUAAUCAUGUGGUGGAGAUAAAAGGUUUAAAAUUUUUAAAAUUUUAAAAAUAGACCAAUGGAAACAUGCCAUGUGUCAAGCUUAGAAUAUUUUAUUAUUUUCUAUAAAAAUCAGCCUAUAAACCCCUCAUUUCACUCCAAAUAUUUGGCCACACCAAGAACAAAGGGAAAAAGGAAGAGAACAAACCCUAGGUGGGGAAUUUGAAGAGAAAAAGUGUGAAAAAUCAAGGAAAAUAAGUGAAAAAGGUAACAUUUUUCAAUUUAAACUUGAAAUCUAUUUUCCUUAAACAUUUCUCCUUAUUUUUCAUGGUUAAAUUACAUGUUUUCAUGAUGAAUUCAUUGCUAGUCAAAAUGGGUAUGGAGAGAGAAAGUUGUUGGAUUGAUUUAAUUUUAAGUUAUGUUUGUGUUUUUAGUUAGUUUAGCAUAUUUAGAAGCAAAACAACAAGAAAAGAAUCCAUUUUCCCCAUGAAUCUUCAUUGGCCGAAUCUUCCUUGAUAUGUGUGGGAGAUGGAUUGUUAUUAUUUCAAGAGAAAUGGUUUAGAAAAUGAUGAAUAAUGAUGAGAAAAUUAAGUAGGAAAAAUCACGGUGUUAGUGCACUGUAAUGGCCGAAUUUUUCCAUGAAGAAAUGGGAAGGUUUUGAUGUUGAAAUUGGUGUUAUUUGAAUAAUGUUUGGUGAAUUGAGGUAUUAGAAAAGAAAUGGAGUAAUUUGGGAUUAAAUUGGACGCGUUAGUAAUUAAUCGGGUGAUAAGACGAAUUUGGCCGGUACCGAAAUUUAGAUGGUUAUUCGUGCAUUUUGCAUUCCAUAUCAUGCAUUAGUAGUCUAAAUUAGUUUAAUUUCAAUUUAGUACCCAUGAAAUAAGUUUCUCGAUUUUGUACUAUGUUAAGGUGGUGAGUCCUCCGAUGAAGGCAAGGGAAUUGCACCCGAGGACAAGUAAUCUAAGUACUUCGAAAAUCCCCAUUCUAGACAUUGUGAGUAACCUUAUCAUCAUUUUAAUUAUCUAAAGUAUGUUUUAACUCGGUUUUGAUGAAAUUUUAUGAAAAUGAGUUAAAUGGCAAAUUUUAGGUUUUGUAACAAAAAAUGUGUUUAAAUGAAAAGAUUUUAUAAAUUGUCUUGAAACGAAUAACGAUUUUGAAAGUAGAGUAUUUGGAGACCACCGAUAUGUUGUAAAUUUAUGAUUGGAAAUUGAUGGCUUAUGUUAUAUUGUUAUUGUGUAGGCAUGACUAGUUGGGUUGUGUUUUAUGAAUUGUAUGAAUUUUUUUAUUUUACCCUUGCAGGCUAGGUAGUAAAAUAUUAGCCCUGUCAUGCUGUCAAAAUUUUAUUGUAUGGUGGGUUUAACUUGCUACAGUAGGUGGAUUCUAUGGACCAGCCUAUUAGAGGGGCAUAGAAUCUGAAUAUAUCUAUGUACCUCGGUCGGAGAGGCGCGUAGGGUAUCUCUUGAGGUAUGGAUAGAGUUCACGUUACGCCGAACCACCUCGUGAUGAUGAACUCCGCUAAUGUCAAGGAACGACUGUGUUUUUCAAACUAAUAAUUUGUUUAUGUGUAUACGAAAUUUUUAACAACCUUGGCAGACUCAGUUAGAUGCCUCGGCCAAGGUAUCCCCGAGAAUGAUUUUGGCAGGAGCCAAACUUUUAAAAUACUCAUAAGCCAUGUUGAUUAUUUAAAUGAAAUGAGUAUUUAUGUUAUGAAAAAUAUAUUUAGAUGAAAUGUUUUAAUAGUCUCAUUUUACUCGACUUUAGAUCUUUUGAAUGAUGUUUGUUUACUCACUGGGAUUUUAUAAUCUCACCACCCUCUUUUCCAUCCAUUUCAGGCUCAGAUUAGACUGUCAAUAGCUGAUCUCAUCGAGGACUACUGUGGGAUUUGCAUUCUCUAAACUUUAGGUUCACAGUCCUUUUUACUUUUGUUUAUUUGGGGGCCUUCUUGUUAUUGUAAAUAAAAUUUCGUACUCUAGAUAUCUAUACUACUAUAUGUAGGAAUUUAUUUUUCUUUGACGCUGUAAAAAUUAUUUACACAGUGUUUUAAAAAUAUUGUUUUAUAAGAAAAUAAAAUAUUUUACUUAAUAUUUCUUUUAUUUUCCUAUUAUAUCCAAUAGGCAUAAUUUCAUUUUAAAUGAAGAUUUUAGACUUUUAAACUCAUUUUGAUUAUGAAUUAUGUGUUUUGUACUUGUAUAUUACAUUUUAGCUAGUUUCAAAAUUUUUGGAAAAAAUUACCAAAAUACCCCUAUGAGACGAAAAUUAUUAUUUUAUUUGUUUUAAGUUGGAAACAGUUUAAAAUCUUUUAGAACAUGGUUAUUGGCAACAGUUACUCACAGGGGAAAUGGUAGGCUGAUAUUAAAGCCUUGCAGGGUUUCGAUUGAUAUUCCGAGUAAUGAGUGUCGAUCGGGGCAUUGCGGUGGUUGUCAUGGGCUCGAGGGGAGUUCCGGGUCAUGACAAUUCGAUUGGUAUUAGAGCGUUUGGUUUUAAAGAUCAGAGUUUUUAGUUUUAAAGUUGUUUUAAAAUUUACAGGGUGAGUGUGGCCCCUAGUUAAGUUAAGUGAAGUUAAGUUAAAUUAGGUUAGGUUGAAUAGAAUGCAUGCAUCUGCAUAUAGAGUCUAAGGUUGAUUAAAUUUGCCUUGUUCCCUUGUAUAGAUUGCCAUGCCUCCUCGACACGAAUGCCCACCUCUCACUAGAUCAGCUAGGAAGGGAAGAGAUCGUUCCCAAUGUCGUCAACUAGAUGCAGUAGAAGAGGAAUCGAUUACAUCCACCAUUCAAGCAGCACCUGCUACUGAGCAGGCCGAGACUCCUCCACAUUCUCCACAUCCUCCGCCACCUACUGGUACUCCUGCCAUGUCUCCUGAGGCAGUCCAAGCAUUGGCAGCCUUCUUUACCGCUAUUGUUGACCAAGCUCAGGCUUGUCAGGCUCCUCCUAUAGUACCACCAGUUGCUCUUUUAGUACCACCACCCCUACCUCCAGUUCCACCGCUAAUACAAGAUGUAUCUAUUGCUAAGAAGUGGAAGGAAGUUAGACAACUGGGUUGUGUUUCUUUUGCGGAUGAGUUAGAUGCCACCGUGGCAAAGGACUGGAUUAAUCAGGUUUUAGAGACUCUUUCUAACAUGAGAUUAGACGACAAUAUUAAGCUAAUGAUGGCUACGAGAUUAUUAGAGAAGAGGGCUCGUACUUAGUGAAAUUCGGUGAAGUCCCAUUCCAUUACUCCUCAAAUAUGGUCUGACUUUUUCAAAAAAUUCGAUUGUCAGUAUUUCACUUACUUUUAUCAGAAAGAAAAGAAAAGAGAAUUUCUAAGCUUGAAACAAGGAAAUCUAACUGUAGAGGAGUACGAGACUCGUUUUAACGAGCUAAUGUUAUAUGUGCCGGAUCUAGUAAAAUCGAAGCAGGAUCAGGCCAGCUAUUUCGAAAAAGGGCUCCGUAAUGAGAUCAGGGAACGGAUGAUAGUCACUGGUAGGGAGCCACAUAAGGCGGUCGUAUAGAUGGCUUUAUGAGCUGAGAAGCUCGGGACUGAGAAUAGGAGGAUUCGGAUCGAGUUUGCAAAAAGAAGAAAUCCUGGUGUAUCUUCUAGUCAACCACCAAAGAGAGGCAAGGACUCAGCGACUUCAGGGAGCAGUACUUCUAUUUCAAUGACAUCUCCUCGACCUCCAUUUCCACCAUCAUAGCACAGACCUUCGAGGUUUAGCAGAUCUACUAUGACUGGUUCUGGGAAGAGUUUCGGAGGUUCUGAUAGAUGGAGAAAUUGUGGAAAUUAUCAUGUUGGGUUGUGUAGGGGUUUAUGCGAUGUUUUCAUUGUGGUCAGCCGGGUCAUAUUAGGAGUAAUUGCCCAUAGUUAGGACGAGCCAUUAUAGCUACAUCAUCUCCACUAGCUCGCACUGAUAUGCAAAGGAGAGAUUCUUUUGGGUUACCACCAAGACAGGGAGUAGCCAUACGAUCCAGUAUGGAGAGUAAUACCCCGGCACAUCUACCUUCGAGACCACAGACUCGUACUUCGACAAGAGUCUUCGCUGUGACGGAAGAUGAGGCAUGGGUCCGUCUUGGAGCAGUGAUAGGUAUUAUGUCUUUAUUUGAUAAAGAUGCUUAUGUUUUGAUAGAUUUUGGCUCAGAUAGGUCUUAUGUGAGUAUAGCAUUUGCAUCAAUUGCUGAUAGAACCUGUCACCAUUAGAGGAGGAAAUUGUAAUUCACACCCCUUUAAGAGAAAAGCUAGUUAGAACAGUUGUUAUAGAGAUUGUGAUGUAAUUGUUGGUGAGGAAGAAUUUAUGGGUGACUUGAUUCCUCUAGAGAUCCAAGAUUUUGAUUUGAUAUUGAGUAUGGACUGGUUAACUGCACAUCGGGUGAAUGUGGAUUGUUUUAGGAAAGAAGUUGUUCUUCGAAAUUCGAAGGAAGCAGAGAUUGUAUUUGCAGGGGAACGUCGAGUAUUAUCGUCCUGUGUAAUCUCGACCAUCAAAGCUUUGAAACUAGUGCAGAAAGGGUAUCUGGCUUAUUUAGCUCACGUGAUCGAUACUUCAAAGGGAGAACCUAAGUUAGAAAGUGUCCCAAUAGUAAGUGAGUUUCCUGAUGUAUUUCCUUAUGAGUUACCGGGACUACCUCCUGAUCGAGAGCUUGAGUUCCCUAUUGAUUUAUUUUCGGGUACCGCACCUAUUUCUAUCCCUCCAUAUCGAACGGCUCCGAUGGAGUUGAAAGAACUGAAAGUCCAGUUGCAAGCUUUGGUGGAUAAGGGUUUCAUUCGUCCUAGCACUUCUCCUUGGGGAGCACCAGUCUUAUUUGUAAAGAAGAAGGAUAACACUCUUCGGUUAUGUAUUGAUUAUCGUUAACUGAACCGAGUGACCAUCAAGAAUAAAUACCCUUUACCCCAGAUUGAUGAUCUUUUUGAUCAAUUAUGAGGUGAUAUGGUGUUCUCUAAGAUUGAUUUGAGAUCUGGGUACUAUUAGUUGAAGAUUAAGGAGCAAGAUGUACCCAAGACUGCCUUUAGGACGCGUUAUGGGUAUUAUGAGUUUCUCGUGAUGCCGUUUAGUUUGACUAAUGCCCUGGCAGUUUUUAUGGAUCUUAUGAACAGGGUGUUCCAUCCAUAUUUAGAUAAGUUCGGGAUAGUCUUCAUAGAUGACAUCCUGGUUUAUUCGAAGAAUGAUGAUGAACAUGCUGUCCAUUUGCGCAUUGUGUUGCAAACUUUGCGUGAGAGACAACUCUAUGCCAAGUUCUCUAAAUGUGAGUUUUGGUUAGAGGAAGUGGUUUUCUUGGGACUUGUUGUGUCUGGAGCUAGAAUUUAUGUCGAUCCCAAGAAGAUUGAGGCAAUCUUAUAGUGGGAGCAACCAAGAACGGUAAUUUAGAUUCGUAGUUGUCUUGGCUUAACUGGUUAUUAUCGGAGAUUUGUUUAGGGAUUUUCAUUGAUAGCAACUCCUCUGACUCGUAAAGGAGUUAAGUUUAAGUAGGAUGAUGUUUGUGAGAAUCGAUUUCAAGAGCUAAAGAACCGGUUAACUUCCGCUCCCGUUUUAACACUUCUUGCUAAUGGAAAAGAAUUUGUGGUAUACAGUGAUGCAUCUAAGUUGGGAUUAGGGUGUGUGUUGAUGCAAGAUGAGAAAGUGAUCACUAAUGCUUCCCGGCAGUUGAAGAAGCACUAGACGAAUUACCCUACUCAUGACUUAGAGUUAGCAGCAGUAGUCUUCGCAUUAAAGAUUUGGAGACAUUAUUUAUAUAAUGAGCGUUGUCGGAUUUUUACUGAUCAUAAAAGCUUGAAAUAUUUGCUCACCCAAAAAGAGCUUCACUUGAGACAGAGACGAUGGUUGGAGUUGAUUAAGGAUUAUGACUUAGUGAUUGAUUAUCACCCUGAAAAGGUAAAGGUUAUAGCGGAUGCCUUAAGUCGUAAAUCCUCAUCGUCGUUAGCAACACUUCGGAGUUCUUAUUUUUUGAUGUUACUUGAGAUGAAAUCUAUAGGGAUCUAGUUGAAUAAUGGUGAGGAUGGAACCCUACUUGCUAGUUUCGUUGUGAAACCUUCAUUGUUGAAUCAGAUCAGAGAAUUGCAGAAAUUCGAUGAUUGGUUGAAGCAGGAAGUUCAAAAGCUGGAAGAUGGAGAAACUAGUGAGUUUAGACUCAGCGAUGAUGGUACUUUAAUGCUUAGAGACCGAAUUUUUGUCCCUAAGGAUGAUCAGUUGAGACGAGCUAUUUUGGAGGAAGUUCAUUCUUCCGCCUACGCUUUACAUCUCGGAAGCACCAAGAUGUAUCGAACUAUUAAGAAAGUUAUUGGUGGCCGGGCAUUAAACGAGACAUAGCAAAGUUUGUAGCGAAAUGUCUCACAUGCCAACAGAUCAAGGCGAAGCAUCAAAAACUGUCAAGUACUCUUCAACCUUUAUCGAUUUCUGAAUGAAAGUGGGAACACGUGACUAUGGACUUUGUAUUGGGUUUACUGCAGACACAGAGUGGAAAUGAUGCUCUUUAGGUGAUUGUGGAUAGAUUGAUUAAGUUCGCUUAUUUAUUAGCUAUCCAUAGCACGUAUUCUAUUGAGAAACUGACGAAACUUUAUAUAUAUGAGGUUGUGAGAUUACAUAGAGUUUCAGUUUCUAUUGUUUCAGAUCGAGACCCCCGAUUUACUUCUCGAUUUUGAUCAAAAUUUUAGAAAGCUCUCGGAACUAAAUUGAGAUUUAGUACUACUUUUCAUCCGCAGACUAAUGGUCAAUCUGAAAAGACUAUUCAUACUCUAGAAGAUAUGUUACGAGCUUAGGUCAUUGACUUUAUUGGGAGUUGGGACAGACACUUGCCAUUGGUGGAGUUCGCGUAUAAUAACAGUUUUCAAUAUAGUAUUGGGAUGGCACCAUACGAGGCUUUGUAUGGAAGGAACUGCCAAACUCCACUCUGUUGGGAUCAAGUGGGUGAGAGGAAAUUGUUUAAUGUGGAAUUGAUUGAUCUGACAAAUGAUCAGGUCAAGGUUAUCCGAGAACGGUUAAAAACAACUCAAGAUAGGUAGAAGAAUUAUUCUGAUAGACGAAGGAAAGAUUUGGAGUUUGAAGUUGACGAUAAAGUUUUUCUUAAGGUUUAUCCUUGGAAAGGUAAUAAUUUGAAAAUUUUGAAGUAUUAAAUCUUAUUUGAUUAAACUACUGUGAUAAUUUAUGGUAUUUAUUGGAUAAUGGAAGGUGUGAUUCGAUUCGCAAAGCGGGAAAAACUCAAUCCGAGAUACAUUGGACCUUUUCAUAUCAUUGAAAGGAUUAGGCCAGUUGCUUACAGACUUGAAUUACCCCUGGAGUUAGAUCAGAUUCAUAAUAUAUUCCACGUCUCGAUGUUGAAAAAGUAUGUUCUCAAUCCCUCCCACAUUUUAGAGACACCACCGAUUGAGUUGCAUGAAGAUUUGAAGUUCGAGGUACAAUCCGUUCAUAUUUUAGAUCGAAAGGAUCGAGUGCUAAGGAACAAGAGCAUUCCAAUGGUGAAAGUCUUGUGGAAAAAUGCUCGAAUGGAAGAGAUGACGUGGGAAGUCGAGCGCCAGAUGAGAAACCAAUAUCCACAUCUUUUCUUGGAAUCUGGUAAGUGAAAUUUUGAGGUCAAAUUUUAUUUUAAGGGGGGGUAGUGUUGUAAAGCCUGACCUUAUAAAAUAUUUGUCAUGACAUACAUGUGAUGGAUAACAUGUUUGCAUGCUAGGAAAGUCUCCAAAAAUUUACAAAAGUCGAUAUUGUACCUAGAGGUACAACAAAGUUGAUUUAAGCCUCGAACUUGAUCGAAUAGAGAUUUUAGGGUGAAAUUGAAAAUUUUAAAGUCCAGGAAUGAUUUAAUAUGGUGAUUCGGAGUUCGAGGAUCAAUUUGGAGUCAAACUGGAAUUUUCAUAACUUAAGGGCAAAAUGGUCAUUUUACCACCCGAGGUUAAGAUGUGAGUGUUGGAUGAAAUUUUUGACUAAAAUUGAUCAAGAUUGACUAUCUAGAACAUAAUUUGAGGUUGAGAAGUGAAAAAUUGUAAUCUUGGUAUUUUUCGGAGCAUAGGGGUAAAAUGUUAAUUUUGCCACCCCAAGAGUAAAACAGUAAUUUUCCACCACCAGGACAUUUGUCCAGCACAUGGUCUUCCCUUAUCCUCAUUUUGACCUUUGACUAAUCAUGUGGUGGAGAUAAAAGGUUUAAAAUUUUUAAAGUUUUAAAAAUAGACCAAUAGAAACAUGCCAUGUGUCAAGCUUAGAAUAUUUUAUUAUUUUCUAUAAAAAUCAGCCUAUAAACCCCUCAUUUCUCUCCAAAUAUUCGGCCACACCAAGAACAAAAGGAAAAAGGAAGAGAACAAACCCUAGGUGGGGAAUUUGAAGAGAAAAAGUGUGAAAAAUCAAGGAAAAUAAGUGAAAAAGGUAAGAUUUUUCAAUUGAAACUUGAAAUCUAUUUUCCUUAAGCAUUUCUCCUUACUUUUCAUAGUUAAAUUACAUAUUUUCAUGAUGAAUUCAUGGCUGGUCAAAAUGGGUAUGGAGAGAGAAAGAUGUUGGAUUGAUUUGAUUUUAAGUUAUGUUAGUGUUUUUAGUUAGUUUAGCAUAUUUAGAAGCAAAACAACAAGAAAAGAAUCCAUUUUCCCCAUGAAUCUUCAUUGGCCGAAUCUUCCUUGAUAUUUGUGGGAGAUGGAUUGUUAUUAUUUCAAGAGAAAUGGCUUAGAAAAUGAUGAAUAAUGGUGAGAAAAUUAAGUAGGAAAAAUCACGGUGUUAGUGCACUGUAAUGGCCAAAUUUUUCCAUGAAGAAAUGGGAAGGUUUUGAUGUUGAAAUUGGCGUUAUUUAAAUAAUGUUUGGUGAAUUGAGGUAUUAGAAAAGAAAUAGAGUAAUUUGGGAUUAAAUUGGACGCGUUAGUAAUUAAUCGAGUGAUAAGACGAAUUUGGCCGGUACCGAAAUUUAUAUGGUUAUUCGUGCAUUUUGUAUUCCAUAUCAUACAUUAGUAGUCUAAAUUAGUUUAAUUUUGAUUUAGUACCAAUGAAGUAAGUUUCUCGAUUUUGUACUGUGUUAAGGUGGUUAGUCCUCCGAUAAAGGCAAGGGAAUUGCACUCGAGGACCAGUAAUCUGAGUACUUCGAAAAUCCCCAUUCUAGACAUUGUGAGUAACCUUAUCAUCAUUUUAAUUAUCUAAAGUAUGUUUUAACUCGGUUUUGGUGAAAUUUUAUGAAAAUGAGUUAAAUGGCAAAUUUUAGGUUUUAUAAAUAAAAAUGUGUUUAAAUGAAAAGAUUUUAUAAAUUGUCUUGAAACGAAAUAACGAUUUUGAAAAUAGAGUAAUUGGAGACCACCGGUAUGUUGUAAAUUUAUGAUUGGAAAUUGAUGGCUUAUGUUAUAUUGUUAUUGUGUUGGCAUGACUGGCUGGGCUGUGUUUUAUGAAUUGUAUGAAUUGUUUUAUUUUACCCUUGCAGGCUGGGUAGUAAAAUAUUAGCCCUGUCAUGCUAUCAAAAUUUUAUUGUAUGGUGGGUUUAGCUUGCUGCAGUAGGCGGAUUCUGUGGACCAACCUAUUAGAGGGGCACGAAAUCCGGAUAUACAUAUAUGUACUUCGGUCUGAGAGGCACGUAGGGUAUCUCUUGAGGUAUGGAUAGAGUUCACGUCACGUUGAACCACCUCGUGAUGAUGAACUCCGUUAACGCCAAGGAACGACUGUCUUUUUCAAACUAAUAAUUUGUUUACGUGUAUACAAAAUUUUUAACAGCCUUGGCAGACUUAGUUAGAUGCCUCGUCCAAGGUAUCCCCGAGAAUGAUUUUGGCAGGAGCCAAGCUUUUAAAAUACUCAUAAGCCAUGUUGAUUAUUUAAAUGAAAUGAGUAUUUAUGUUAUGAAAAAUAUAUUUAGAUGAAAUGUUUUAAUAGUCUCCUUUUACUCGACUUUAGAUCUUUUGAAUGAUAUUUGUUUACUCACUGGGAUUUUAUAAUCUCACCACCCUCAUUUCCAUCCAUUUCAAGCUCAGAUUAGACUGUAGAUAGCUGAUCUCAUCGAGGACUACUAUGGGAUUUGCAUUCUUUAAACUGUAGGUUCACAAUCCUCUUUACUUUUGUUUAUUAGGGGGCCCACUUGUUAUUGUAAAUUAAAUUUCGUACUCUAGAUAUCUAUACUACUGUAUGUAGGAAUUUAUUUUGCUUUGACGCUAUAAAAAUUAUUUACACAGUGUUUUAAAAAUAUUGUUUUAUAAGAAAAUAGAAUAUUUUACUUAAUAUUUCUUUUAUUUUUCUAUUAUAUCCAAAUAAGCAUAAUUUCAUUUUAAAUGAAGAUUUUAGACUUUUAAACUUAUUUUGAUUAUGAAUUAUGUGUUUUGUACUUGUAUAUUACAUUUUAGCCAGUUUCAAAAUUUUUGGAAAAAAUGACCAAAAUACCCCUGUGAGACGAAAAUUAUUAUUUUAUUUGUUUUAAGUUGGAAACAGUUUAAAAUCUUUUAGAAUGUGGUAAUUGGCAACAAUUACUCAUAGGGGAAAUGAUAGGCUGAUAUUAAAGCCUUGCGGGGUUCCGGUUGACAUUUCGGGUAAUGAGUGUCAAUCAGGGCAUCGCGGCGGUUGUCACGGGCUCGAAGGGAGUUCCGGGUCAUGACACAUUACUACAAGAACUAAGCUAAAUUAUUAUCAAAAUUAAGCUCAAAUGACUCUAUAUCAUAGAGUUAUCAAACACAUAAUGGGUUUUGUCUUGCCCUAACCCAAUAGAGGUGGGGUUUUUUUGGUUUAAAAUUGGGGUAGAUGUUGGUUGUGUCGGUUUUGACAAUUAAAAAAUGUCAAAGUAUCUAUAGGUUCUUAUAUUAUGAUGAGUUUUCGUUAAUUUAAUUUCUCUAUCUUAAAACUGGUUAAUUUAGUCCCUAUAGCUAUAUUUUGAGAGUUUGUAUAAUCGAGUUUCUCCUCUAAAGCCGUCCAAACUAACCAUUAAUAGUUUAAACAAAAGCCACCCAGAUAAAUACAAUAUAAACAAACCCAUAGCAAAAAACCAUUACUCCAACAAACUCAACCAUGACUCUUACUCCAACAAACUUAAGCAAGGCAGCAAAUUAAGAUUUUCAAAUUAUAUAUAUAAAAGUAGAACAAUGACUGGCCAAUUGAUAUACAAAUCUAAGACCCACACAAGGUUUAGGGUUUAGGGUUUAGUUUGUUGCCAUGUCAAUUAAUUCUACUUUUAUUUAUGAUUUGGUUGACAUGUCAUGGCUGACAUGGCUUGGCAAACUAAACCCUAAAUCCUUUAUAAAAUAAAGAUUUGAGUUUGUGGGCCUUUAGUAUAUAUAUCAAUUUGAUAAUCAUUACUUUAUUUUUAUUUAUAAUCUAGAAAUCAUAGUUUGUUGUCAUGGUUGAGUUUGUUGGAGUAACGCUUUUUUUGUUGUGGUUCUGUUUAUAUUGUGUAUAUCUAGAUGGCUAUCUUUUGUAAAAAUGGAUAUUGUACAUGGGUUAUAUUUUUACUCGAUUUUUGUUUUGGCAGAAGGUACAAACCUCUUGAAAGGAUUAAGUGACGUACAUUCUGUUUUUUUUAUAUGCUAGGGUGAUGUACAUUCUAUUUUUUUGGUAUGCUAGUGGCUAUGGUAGAACCAUAAGGUCUUUUUGUUAAACUAGGGUUUUUUGAUUGAAAGUUCUUGGAUUACUCCACUGAAAUGAGAAUUUUCUAGUGAUUUAGGAACAUUUAUUAGCCUUUCAAAAAGAAAGUAGUGUAAUUAGUUUGCAUAAUUUUGUUUGUACAAAUGGAAAGUUAAUGGUUUUUAAUUAGUAAAGAAUAACCUUUUGAUGUGUAAAAGUAAAAUUUUAGUACAAAUGUAAUGCUAAACAAAAACUGGUAAAAGUACUCAAUUUAGUCCCUAUAUGAUAAAUCUUUAUUUAAUUUAGACCCUGUAUUCUACAAUUUUGUUUAAUUUAACCUUUAUAACGUAGCACCAAAAUAAUGACGUGGGAAAAAAUUUCAAAAAAAAAUAUGCAUCAAAAAGUUUUUUGGGCAUGCCACAUCAUUGUUGCCAUAUCUACAUGUCAGUGUCACGUCAGCAUAGUUAGCCAUGUUAGUGCCACGUCAGCUCUAUUAAGAAUUAAUUUUGAUGACGGUAGGGAGAGGGACUCGAUUGCACAAAAUCUAAAAGUAGAUGAAUUAAAUUGACCAGUUUUAGGGUAAGGGGACUAAAUUGACGAAAACUCCAUAGUAUAGGGACUUAUUCGGUACUUUGACCAUUAAGAAAAGUCGAAUUAAGGUUUCUAGUGCCCUCUUUGAGGUAUAUAGAAAAAUAUUAUAUUUUAUAUUAUAUUUAAUUAUUAUAUUUAUUGUUAUUAUAGUAUACGAAUAAAGUUAUUAUUUAUUGUUAAUCAGAGGUAUUAACUUAAUAAUAUAACAUAUUUAAAUGUAAUUAAGAUGUAAUUUAAAUUAAAAAAUAAAAAUUUACUUGAAAAUUAAACUAAAAUAAUUUAAAAGAAAAAUAAUUUAGAGGUAGGGCAAGUCGAACGUAGGUUAUAUAAGUUUUUUGCUUCAAGAUUGGGUAUUAAAGUUCAUAAUCUAGUGUUAGGGUGGAGCUGGUUGCCUCUUUACUAUUGAGUGGUACCUUUGAAAAUACCAAUAAAAGAUGUAAGCUUUUUUUUUUCAAAGAAAGUAACCUACUAAAUGAAUUAAAUAAAAUCCUAAAAAAUCAUACACUUGAGAAUUUUAAGGACAAGUAAGAUGAGUUAAGAUGAAAUUAAAAAUCAAAUUUAUGAAAGAAACAAACAAAUAUGUUAAAGAAUUUUUAUUCAAUUUCCAAGAUGGCACUGGUUACGUUAUAUUUUAAAUAUAUAUUUUAAAAUUUGUAGGUAUGAGUCGCAUUUCAUUCAAGAUAUUAUUAAACAGAUUCAAAAUAAACUCCAUCACACCACUUUAUAUGUCCCUCCCUAUUUAGUUAGAAUAGAUUUUCUCGUGACAUGCAUUAAUUGGUGGUUAGGAGAUGGAUCAAAUAAGGUUGGCGUAGCAACAAUUUUUGAAAUUAGAAGGAUUGGGAAAACAACCAUUGCCAAAGUUGUUUACAAUCUUAACAUCCAAAAAUUUGAAAGUUUCAGUUUCCUUAUUGAUGUUAGAGAGACUACUCAAGAACGUAAUGGCCUGGUUCAUUUGCAAAGACAACUUAUUUCAGAUCUUGAAGGGUAAAGUAAACAAAAUACACAAUUUAAAUGAUGGAAUCACCAAGAUCAAAGAAGCUUUACAUCGUAAACGUGUGCUUAUUGUCUUAGAUGAUGUGGAUGAUUUGGAAAAAAAUAACUAAAAUAAUUGGAGCGCAAAUUCCUUUUCAUCCAUGAAGUAAAAUCAUCAUAACUAGUAGGCAUCGAUGUCUACUGAGUGAUCCUUUUAUUAGGCACAUGUUUGAUUUUGAAGCAUCUUCAACUUAUGGAGACUUAUGCAAGGUAUUUGGGGUAAAAGAAUUAGCUUUCAAUGAAUCCUUUCAACUUUUUAAUUGGUAUGCCUUCGGACAAAAUGAUCCAAUUGACAAUUAUAUAGAACAUGCGAGGAGUGUAGUGAAACACUACGGUGGGCUUCCAUUAGCUUUUCAAGUUUUGGGUUAUUCUCUACCUGGUAAAAGUAUAAAUGCGUGGAGAAGUGCAUUAGAGAAAUUGAAAGUAAUCCCUGAUAGCAAAAUUCAGAAGAUUAUAAGAAUAUGUUAUGAUUCCUUGCAAGAUAAUCAUGAUAACAGUAUAUUCCUUGACAUAGCUUGUGUAUUCGUCGGGAAGGAUAGAGAUUACACAACUACAAUUCUAGAUGGUUGUGAUUACUGUACAACAAUUGGUAUUGAAAAUCUCAUAAAUAGGUCUCUUUUGGUGGUUAAUGAAAAAAACAAGCUAAUGAUAUACCAAAUGAUUAGAGAUACAGGAAGGAACAUUAUUCGUCAAAAAUCUUCUGACCUUGGGAAAUGAAGCAAGUUGUGGCAUAAGGAUGCAUUUGACAUAUUAAGAGAGAAAAUUGUAAGAAAGACUUCAUUUUCUUCUAUUUUCUUUUAUGUAAUAUAUUUUCAUAUGUCCUACUUUUUUAACUAAAUUAUUUUUUCUCCAUCAGGGUACAAAAACAAUCAAGUGCCUCACCAUUGACCUACAAAGAUUGUUGGAAGAAAAGUAACAAAAAACAACUGCAAAUCAUUCAAAAAAUCCAUUUCUCAAUUCGAAUGAGGUAGUUAUAGAAACUAAUUCUUUUGUAAAGAUGAAAAGACUUAAACUACUUUAGCUAGAUUAUGUAAAACUUAAAGGAGACUACAGUGACUUUCCGAGAUGCUUAAUAUGGUUAUGUUGGCAUGGAUUUCCUCAAGAUUAUCUUCCUACAAAUUUAGACAUUUCCAGUUUAGUUGUUCUUGAAAUGCGCAACAGUAGCCUCAAACGUGUUUGGAAUGAUACAAAGGUGUGAUACUAUAUAAUUUCUCUUUAUUUUUUAUGAAGCAAAAACAAAAUUAUAUGGCUAAGUGUUUUUUUCCCUUUCCUACAAUACUUUCUUCCAAAUUUGAAGAUCCUUAAUCUCAGUCACUCCCAUAGCCUUCUUAAAAUCCUUAACUUAUCAAGUCUUCAUAGUCUUGAAAGGUUGAUGCUGAAAGAUUGCAUAAAGUUUACUGAGGUUGAUCAAUCCAUUGGUGAGAUAAAGACUCUGACUGUUUUAAACCUUAAAAGUUGCAAAAGUCUUAAGAAACUUCCACGGACAAUUGGUUCGUUAGAAUCUUUGAAGGAGCUUAUUUUAAUUGGUUGCUCAACAUUUAAUGAUAUGCCUAGGGAUUUGCAGAAUAUGAAAUCAUUGAGGGUGCUUAGCUUAGAUGGAACUGCUAUAUAUGAAUCAAAUUCGUGGUUGUCUUGGCUAUCACUUAACAAAAGCAAAGAAUUGGGUUUCUUUUGGGCAACUUUGCCAUAUUCUUUAGUAAAGUUGAGUCUUGAGAGUUGCAGACUAUUUAAUGAUGUUAUGCCCUCUGAUUUGAGCUACUUACCGUCCUUGAAACCAUUAAGUUUAAGUAAAAACCUAAUUCAUAGCCUUCCCGAGAGCAUUAUCCGCUUUUCAAAGCUUAAUGAACUUUUGCUGACUUGUUGCAAAAAGCUCCAAUGGCUUCCAAAGCUUCUAACGAGUGACUUGCAUGUGAUAAUGUCUCAAUCGUUGCACAGAAUUUCAAGUCUGCCAUGCUUAUUAAAUUUGAAAAGGUGUAUUGUCUUUAGUUGUGAAAAGCUAAUUGAGGUUGAAGGUGUGUUCAAGUUGGAACCAAUUAAAAACUUUAAAGUGGAAUGAAUUGAAAGCUUAUUCAACAUGGAUUCGAUUGGAAGCAUUGAAUUGCAAAUUUAUAACUAUCUUAUGUACACAAAAAUGGUCACUACCCCUCAGGUCUUUUCUCAAUCUACUAAAACUUUUUAUGUUCUUAUUUUACAUUAUUCAGUACUUUCAUAAAUAAUAGUUUCACUGUCAAACCCUGCUUUGUAAAAUAAUUAUAAUGUCAUUCACAUGUUCGAUAGAAUGUUUGUAUAUUUAAGAAAUUCGAGAAAUCGUUAAAAUAUGAUAUUGCCCUUAAUGGUACUAUUAAGUCGAUUAAGCCUCGAAUUAGUUCAAAUAGGAAUUUUAAGGUGAAAUUAAGAGUUUCACAGUUCAGGGAUGACUCAAAAUGGUAAUUCGGAGUUCGAUGAUCAAUUCGGAGUCAAAUCGAAAUUUUCACUGUAUAGGGGCAAAAUCAUAAUUUUUCCACUCGCUGACAAAUUUUGAGAUUUUGAGAGAAUUUAGAUCACAUUUGACAAAUUAGAGAAUGGUAUGAGUAUAAGGGAUGAAAAAUAUGUCUAUGGGCAAUUUUUCAGUUUUUGGGGUAAAAACGUAAUUUUUCACUUUACGGGGGUAAAGUGUAAUUUUAAAAAAUUUACUCCACCAAAACUUUGGAAAAGUCUAGAAAUUUCAUGGAAGACAUGGAUAAGUGAAGAGGAUUGAGUGGUAGAAAAAGAAAGUCAAAAAGAUGGCUAGAAAAAAAUAAAAUAAUAAAAUAUUCAAAAGGUAAAUAAAAUAAUAAUAUUUUAUUAAGCCUAUUAAAAGGCUUGAAAAUUCCAGAAUUCUUCAUUGGGAGGGUCAGCCAAAACCAGCAGGAGAGAGAGAGAAAUAAGAACAAACCCUAGAGUGAGAAAAUUCAAAGAAAAAGUGUGAUUUUUCAAGGAAUCAAGUGUUUAAAGGUAUGAUUUUUCAAGCUUAGCUUAAGAUUUAUCAUUUCCAUGCAUUUCUCCUUAUUUUCCAUGGUUAAAUUAUGUGUUUUGAUGAUGGAUUCAAAUCUGAUCAUAUGGGUUUAGAGAGAGAAAGUUGUUAGAUUAAUUUGAUUUUGAACUAUGUUAGUGUUUAGUGUUAGUUUAGCAUGUUUAUGAGUAAAACAACAAGAAAAAUAUUCAUUUUCUCCAUGAAUUUCUCUAGGCCGAAUCUAGCCAAUGGUGUGUGAGGAUGAGGUUGACUUUAUUUUAAGAGAAUUAGAUGGAAAAAUGAUGAAUUAUGAGGUUGGAAAUUAAAUGAGAAUUUUUGGUGCAAAAAAAUUGAAAUUUUUACCCACUAGGGGUAAAAGCGUAAUUUGUGGUCCGAACUGAUAAAUUGGACCACAUUCACAGUCAUUGAGGUAUUGUGGAUAUAAUUGGAUAAUUGAAAUUGAAAUGGAUGGAAUUGGAGUUGAAUUGGAGAUUUUAGAAAUUUACACCGUGUAUAGGCAAGUUAGGUCGGACACUGUGAUUAAGCGAUUGUCCAAACAUUUCACACCCUAUCUAGUGCAUACGCAUGGAUAAGAGCCUGAAAUAAUAUAUAUUGAUUUGACACAAAUUAUUGAAUUUUUUGUGUCAUGUAUUGUGGAUAGGUGGUGAGCUAUCUGAUACGAGUAAAAGACUACACCCGAGGACCGAGAAUAGGAGUAUAUCUACUCCUAGUACAGUGAGUAAACUUACUAUCGUCUUAAUUAUCUAGAGUAGAUUUAUUUAAUUGUGUGAUUUUAUGGAAAAAUGGUUUAAUUGGAAAAUUAUUGUGUUUUAUGGGAAAAUGAGAUUUUAUAAAAUUUUUAAAAAUCUAAUAAUGAUUUCAAAAAUAGAGUAAUUGGAGACCUAUACUAUGAUUGUGUUGUUUAUCCAUGAUUUUACAUUAAAUGGCUUAUGAUAAAUGAGGGUAUGACUGGUUAUUUUUAUGAUUUAAAGAAUAUGUGAACUUCUUUGAUUUGCCUUGAAUGUGUUAAGUGAGCCAUGUCAUACUAUUAUGAUUUUAUUGGUUGGUGGAUUAUAAAGUGGGCACUGCAGUGACGGGGGUUUCGUGGGCCAGCCUAAUUAGAGGGGCACGGUUCUCAAUUAUUGAGCUUACCUCGAUUGAAGAGGCGCGUAGGAUAACUCCCGAGGUAGGAUUUGAGUACACUUCACGCUGGCCACCACGUGAAAGUGGGACUCAACCAACGCCAAGGAACGGCUGUGUUGUCAGAGGUGAAAUGUGUUUGUGUGUGUGUGACAAUAAACAGCCUUGGCGAUCUCGGUAAGAUGCUUUCGCGAGGUAUCCCCAAUAAUGGAUUUUUGGCAAGGGCCAAGUUUUUGAAAAGUGCAU